UUUUUUUUAGUUCACUUAGUCGUAUAUGUGUUGCAAGGCACGUGGUAUUGCAUCUUUAAACCUAUUUUAUUAUCACUAGUCGCAUAGGAAACCGAGUCCAUAACUAUACAAUAAGGCAAUUUAUAAGCAUCAUAUAAAUGUUCACUAGUACAUGUAGAAUAUGGGGUGUUACACUUGGAUUGGUAGGCUUAGGUUCCCUCUUCUUGCUAAAUGAAAGCUAGGUUGAAUGUGAUCUCUUGAAUAGGUAGGCUAAGGCAUCCUUUUCUUGUAUUGGUAAAUGUGAUCAUGAAUGGGUUAUCUUGACUUGGUAGGCUUAGGCAUCCUCCUCUUGAAUAAUGAAUGUAGCUUGGCUUAAUGUCUUAAUGUCUUGAAUUGUUAGACCUAAUAUUGGUAGACUUUUCAUAAAUGAAUGAAUGAAUGUCUAGAAUUGGUAGACCUUAUGUUGGUAGCCUUUCUAUAUAUGACUAAUGAGGUAUUUUAGACUAUGCCUUGAACCGGUAGACCUAAGAUUGGUGGACCUUCAUGAUGAAUCUAGAACUCUAUGUGAAUGUAAAACCUUGAAGUGGUAGACCUAAUGGUGGUGGCCUUAUUGUUGUGUGAAAAGAUGAACCUAGAGAUGGUAGACCUAAUUGUGGUGGCUCUCUAUAGGAAGAUCAAUGAGUUAUCCUUAAUGUACCUUGAAAUGGUAGGCCUAUUGUUGGUUGCCCUUUCUUGGUAAAAGUACUUUUGGUCGGUAGGCCUAAUGUUGGUAACCUUCUCAAGUACACUAAUGUAAAUGAAACUACUCCAUGGGAAUGGAGACUAAACAUCGAGUGGAUAUGGCUAAAAUGGUGGAUCUCCCAAUGUUAGGCUAGAGUCCAAUGAACAUCUUUCUUAUCCCAUAACUAUGUGCCUACAUAGGACGUGUACUAGUUCUACCCUAGGCAAGUAGAAAACCUUUCUUCGGUGUAGGGUUACAUGACAUCGGAUUCCAUGAUUUAGCUCUCAUGGUGUAUGUCGGUUAAUGCCUAUUCCCAUCAUGUGAGAUGUGAAUUAUGGUUUCGUAAGGAGUUCUACAAAGUGCGGGGAGUAUUAUGGGAUGCUAUCCAUACAUUGCACGAGUAGGCUUUGAGAGGGGCAUAGUGAAUUCUCUAAGGCUUAAUGACUAAAUGUAUGAAAGUCCUCUAACUACAUGAAUGUGUCCUCAAUAAACCUAAUGAAGAAUGUUGGCUUAAAUGCUUAAAUGUAAAGAUGCAUGCUAUACGUGGAUUGUAUUAUGAGUUACUUCCUUGUCAUGAUUUAUUGUAUAUGAAUGUUCCUUGUCUAUGGUUACUUCAAAAGAUUACUAAGUGUUAGUAGGAGUAUGGGAUGCUACUUUCACAUUUUACAAGUAUGACUUAGAGUUGUCUUAGAUAUUGGUCUUAAUGUGAUGAUGUGAUUCAUCUUAUGUUUAUGUCUCUUAUAUGUUUUAUUGUGUAAAGGUGGGAAGGAUGAAUGGUAAGAUCACUUUUGGUGACCUUAAGGUGGUACCUUAGUGUGGGUGGUGGUAUGGGAUGCUAUCCAUACAUUGCACAAGAUAUAGCUUGAGGGUUACAUGAGGUGGAGGUUCAAGGUGAAGGUAAAGGGUUAUAUGUGACUUUGUUAAAAUGUGAAAAUGUGAUUUGUAUGUUGGUUCUGACUUAUAGUAUGCCUAUUGUAUCAAUGUUCAUGAAGUUUUACCAAAUGGCAUAAAAGCAUGACUUUAAAAAAAAAGUUCCUUUUUAAGCAUGUUUUUGCAUGGUCAUCAUACUUAGUACAUUUUUGUGUGCUAACCCGUAUUUUCUUUACUCUUAUGAAGUGUAGGGAUUGGAACUCAAUUUGAUUCUCCCUAGUGAAGCUUGGAUUAGAGUUCUUCCAAGACAUCUUUGGUAUGUCCUCAUAGAUCGAGGACAAGGACUUUUAUUGUUUCUAGUUCUUUCUUGUUUUGAGACUAUUGUUAAGACUUCGAUUGUAAAGGGACAUGACCCUAUCAUGUUAAGUUUUGUCUAAGAUGGCCAUGUGAGACUUUAUUAUGCCGCUGCUUUAUAAAUGAGUUUUUGAUAGAUUGGUUUUAAAUAUAUUUUAAUUCCGCACUAUUUCUAUCUAUCAAAUGUUGUGAAUGUUAAGAGUCUUGUAUUAGACCCCUUCGGGGUCGAGUACGCCGUGUCGCAUCCGAGGUCUUCACUAGGGUCGUGACAAACUUGGUAUCAGAGCAUAAGAUGUUGGAAAUGGUUUUUAGGGUUAAUGUCUCACAAGCCACGUCUAGUUGAGUCUUGUUCAUCGGUGUGAGUUGCGACACAUCUAUGAGGGAGAGGCCAUAGGACGGUAUAAAGUUACACUUCUUUCAUAUUCUUGAAAUCGUGCCUUAGAGUUUAGUUCUAUAAGUGUCCUUUUCCUAAUCCUUCUAUUGUGUUUAUAGGAUAUGAAUACAAGAAGGACUACCGCAAGGAGGGUGGAAGAGGAUAUUAUUAAUGAGGAAGUUCCUCCCCAAGGUAACCAAGGUCCUCAAGGUUACCAAGUCCCUCAAGAGAAUGAAGUUUCGGUAGGUCCCCCGGACAUGAACAAUGAAGAGAUUAGGAUGGAAUUUUUAACCCUAGCCCGAGCCAUGACGACUCAAGUGAAUAGAGAUAUGGGGCUUAGGGUGAAUGCUAAUGAGAGUGCCAUGGCCUCAAGAUUAAACUUAGUGCGCCUGGUCAUCCUGGAUCGAUUAUCAGGUGGCCUCGGUAGUUUGAAUCUCCUAUAUAGCUUGACACUCUUUCAUCUUGCUCGAUAACUUGAGCAAGAGCAAUGAGACUUAGUGACAAGGUCACUUCGACUGCAUGCCUUAUCAAGAGCUAGAUUAUUUUAAACGAUACAUUUCAGAACAGAUCUCUUCAUGCAGAUACUAUCUAGGGCUUGAAAAAUACCUUGGCUAAUGUAGCCAAUAUAGGGGAUAGUAUCCUCAAUGAUCGUCAUGGCAUGCCCUGCUAACAUCUUUGGCAAUGAUGACACAAAGUAUGUUCAAAUUUGCAUCUUAAUUAGAUUCUUGCCAUCUUUUGGAAAUGGAUAUAUGUAACGACCCGAGAGCACCCCAUAGUCGUUACCGGCGUACUCGACCUCGAAGAGGUCUUAUACAAGCCCUUAGCAUUCAUCAUAACAUGUAUCAUAGAAUAAAAUCACGGAAAAAUUUAAAACAUUUACUUUGGAAGUUCAACUUCACUUUAUAUAUGAAAAAUAGAAUCUAACUUCGUCACAAUGCACCAUCUAGACAUAGAAGUAUCGAAAAUGGGGCUUAGCCCUUACAUCAAUAAGAAGUCUUGAAAAUAGGAAGUACAACAAUGUCUUUCAACAUAAGCAAAGAACAAAACAUAGAAGCUAGAUCAUAGGGUCUUGUCCUCGGACUUGAGGACUCACCAACUUGGGGAAGCAACUCCAAGUGUCUUGAGAAGUAAGCUUGAAUCCUCAACGUCCAGAACCUAAAUGUUUGGGAAAAGGAAGAAAAUAUGGGUUAGUACAACACACGUACUAAGUAUGGCUACUAUGCAUAAAAACCAUUGAAACAUGCAUAAAAGGACAUUUUAUUCAAAACAUGCUUUUUGCCAAGUAAAUCCAAUAUGCACAUAAUUAAGUAUCAUAGUCCAAACCAACAUAAUAUCAUCCCAACAUGUAGCCAACCCAAGUAAUACUAGUGCAAUGCAAAGAAUAGAAUCCCAUAACCCUAUUCAAAGCCAAGUAUCACAUUAAGCAACCUACUUCAUGCAUACAUUCAUAACAUCAUCUUUCAUCAUAACUUACCAUAUUCAUAAUGAUCAUACAUAACAUAGCUUCAACAUACAUAAGUCAUAAUCAUCACAAUGAUAAGAGAAAACUACUACAACCAUCUCUUAGGAUCCCACAAUGUGCAAUGUGCAAGAGAAGUCCCAUACCCUCCCUUACACUAUGUAGAAACCCUUUAAGAAAAGCCCUAGUAAUAUUUCACACCUUUCAUACCUACAUUUACUUUUACAUUAGGGAAAUAUUGCAAUAACCGACAUAGACCAUGAGAGCUACAUGGAAUCCGGUGUUCUACUCCCACACCGAAAAGAGAGGGUUAACACUUGCCUAAGGUGUAACCAAUCGUACAUAGCUAUCUAGGUGGAUCCACUAAGCUAGAGACCUAUGUGGGCACAUAGUAAAGGGUCAAGGAGAUUGCUUCUAAAAACCCUAACUUACUAAACGUGGGGGUUUCCAUCUCAUGAGACAACACAUACUGUAGGUAAUCCAGACUUGCUAAACAUGAGGAAACCCAUGUGGAUAACCUGACUUACUAAACAUGAGACCCCCAUCUCAUUUACAUGCCCUUUCGGUGCUAAGCAUUUGAUUCCCUUUUGUAAUCAUCUUUAGUCAUCGCAUAAGUUCACAUUAGCCUUUACUAGACUCUUAUGUAGACAUCUUAUCAUAAUAGCUCAUAUGUGUUCAUAAGUGAGUAAUAAUCCUUUCACUUUAGAGACACAUAACAAGUGAGUAAACCUUUCAUUUUACAUUAUACUACAAUCAUGAGAACUACCUUUCAAUCAUAUAGCAAUCAUACCAUAAUAUACAUACAUACUUCAUAGCUGAUUCAAGUGUAGAGGGUUAAGGAUGAGGAAACUAGGUCAUCAACACCACAAUAACACAUUAGGUAUAGCAUCACUACAAUAUAAGUAAUUCACCUUUCAUACUUGAGUUAAAAGGAGAACCAACUUUCAUACCGUCUUGACCUUCGUGGGAUAUCCAUACUUCAAUUACCAAGAAAUUCAUAACCAAUACAUAAUACAAGGUAAUUCAUGAAGUAAUAACAUAAUCAACAUCAAUAUAAGCAAUUGGCAUCUUCCCUUCAUAGCCUUCAAGUCUUCAUUCAAAGACUCAACCCUAAUUUCAUAGAAAUUAUACAUAAACUAGGGUAGAAUCAGCAUAUAAAUUCAUAGCCUUCAUUCAAUUCAUAGCCUUCAUUCAAUAACCAACACAAACUAGGGUUGGAAUUAGGAAAAGAAGGAGAAACAUGGGUCUCAUGGGUAAUUCUUCAAGAAACCACCAAUACAACAUAAAUUCAUCCAUAAUUGUUCAUAUAACAUCAAUAAAGGUCAGUUUAUAACAUCAAUUUUACUUUAGAAAGAAGACCCACGUUUUUGGAUUGAAACCUAGAAAUUGGAGAUUUUAAAAUUCAUCUUGAAGGGGGACUCUUGGGGAAAGGAAUCCCAAGAGUGAUAAGCAACCAUACCUUAUUGACGAAUUAACCACGAAAAUCCAAGUUCAAACCUUGGAGAGUUGAUCUUCUUCUUGAAGCUCCAAUCUUCUUCAAUGGAGUUCUUGAGAAGAGAGAGAGAGAGUAGAGGGAAGGAGGAACUUUAGGUUUAAAUCUUGGGGUUUUGUGUUUAGAGUGAUAAAAGUGAGGUAAAUUGUCUUAAAAAUCAUUAUAUACAUGCCCCCUAGAGUACCCUAAAUACCCCUCACUUAAAUGGACUCUUUAAUGAGGUAAAAAUAGAUUUCUGAAUUUCUGCAUUUUCGUCGAGAAACAAUUCCGCGAUGCGGAGCUGUUCCCUGAAGAUAUUUGGAAUUAAAUUUCGAGACAGUAGAGUCCACGACACGACCGCGUCAUGAACAAACUUUUUGAUCCUUGGGGGAGCAAGUCUGCGACACGCCCUUGUUCCCUCCGAGAGCAAUUUGCAAGUUGCCUUGGCAGCUUGCUUGUCCAAGGUUGGGGUCCCCCUUAGGGUGGUCCCGGGGUAUCGUAUUCGAAUUUUUUGACCCUAUAAACAAAUAUUUACCUAUUUUAACUCUUUUUACAAGAUUAUACCAUCAUAUGACACUCCCAAACCUGCCCAAAACCUAAGGACACACUAGAACACAUUCUUCUCUAGUUUCGAGACGUCGUGGUCGUUUCUUGAUGUUUAGACUUUUACUCUUCAAAACCAAGUCAAUUACAUUAGUAUAGGUUUAUAAACAUCAUUUUAACUAUUUUUAAGUUAUUAUACAUAAGGUGAGGCUCUCUAUCUUAAGUCAUAGAAUUUCCGAGGUGUUACAAUAUAAAUGAUAUACACUUAAUUUCAAAUAGUUGCCUACACAUUUAUUUUAGUGUUUGACCAGUAUCUCCAUAAAAGACUUCUAGAAGUAUGUUCAAAUUUGCAGCAAUGUCUUGGGAUGUUAGGAGAAAGUUCAUGUCCGCUGCACCUAUUGCGGUCCACUAAUCCCUUUGAAUGUCGGAGAACAUUGAAGUAAAUUCUGAUAGUAUCAUAUACUUUUCCCGGUCGACUACAUUCUUGUAGCGACCCUAAAAAUGAAUAAGUUAAACUAAAGCCUAAUGUGUGUGUGUUUGAGUUUGAUGUGAGGUUUCAUGUUGUUUUAUGUUGUCUCGAGCUAUGGCUGAGGCUUUUAGGGGUUAAACGUCAAUGUACGACUCCCCAUGGGCCACUCUAGGGAUCUUUGAGGAGGACCCUAAGCUUAACCACGAAGACCCUAAGGAAAUAAAGACUGCCCAUAAAUGGUGUGAUCUACAGAAGGGGUCCACGCCCCAUGAUGGCCUACAUAGGUCAAGGGGACCCAAACCAUGCUGCAGCCAUAGACCACAGACCAACAACACGAUCCGUCAAUGGACUCACGGUCCGUGAGUCCAGGGUUUGAAUCACCACUGCAAUUUGUCAAGUGGUUCGGCCUUGGUGGUUGUGAAUUGGUAAAUUCAUCCAAAGUCCUAAUAAGUUGGGGGACGGUUAUUUUAAGUGUAUAAAGAUAUUUUAAGAUUAUUAAAAUAAUAAAAUACUAUUUUAGAUUUCAUUAUUCAAAUCCCCCAAAUCAAAACCCAAUUACUCUUUUCUUCAAAAAUCUUCUCUCUAGAACCUCCAUUGAAGAACAAAGAAAGAGAUCAAUGAAAGCUUAAAUGAAGGAUCUUUUCACUUCGAAUUUGGAAUGAUUCUACACCUAAGGUAUGGGAAUUCUUCAUCCUUCGGAAGCUAUCACCCAAGGAGCCCUUUCAAAAGCUUUUAACUCAAAUCUAGAAAGCCCAAUUACCUAGGGUUUCAACUCAACUACAUGGAUUAUGUUUAAAGUUUAUUUUAAAGGUUGAAAUAUAUUUUUUUAUGAUUGAUUUCAUAUGAUUUUAACUCAACUCGUUCAAGAAUCCAUGAGACCCCUAACCCUUGUUAUGGUUCUUCUUUACAUUAUGUGAUGGUUUUGCAAGUUGGUCCAAUUGAUUGGAUGUGAGUUAAUUAUGAUGUAAUUGCAUGAUCUAAGUAUGAAUAUACAUGUAUAUUUAAUUAAUCUAUGACUCUAAUGUGAACUGAUGAGGCCUAGGGUUAUGUCCUGAAAGAGGCAAAUUGUGGGUUUAGAUGUAACCUUCUAAGAAUGGUGAAAUUCUUGAUGAAUUGCCUUAGAUUAGAUCUCCUAGCAAUGAAUUAUUCGUAGGUAAAGCUUGUAGAUAUGAACUAACAUGAUUAAGAGCUUAUAUGAAUAAUCAUGUUUGUGUAGUGUUGAGAUUGAGUUUAUAUGUUCCUAUAUGACUAUAAUUGAUCAAGAAUGAGGCAUGUGUUUAGGUUACCUUGAGAACUAGGAUUACUUAAUAAUCAUGUGAGGCAUUGAUUCAGAGUAAGGAUUCUAACAUGAAGAUGACUCCUAGGGCUUAAAGGGUAAAAGCUAGGAUGAAUAAACUAGGGAUGCCAAGGCUUUAAGAAAGAAGUCAUUAUGUAUGUUAAGUUUCAUAUAGUCCUAUAGUGAAGAGACUUCACCCACAUGACCUAUAAUGUGAUCUCAUUAGUCCAUGCAUGAAGUGAAUGAACUAUUUGAGUUAUGGUUGUAUCUAUUUUUCUAGUAUUGAAGGCCAAAUGUAUUGACUCAAUAUGACUCUUGAAUGCAAUAUAUGUGGAUUAUGCAUGAUUGUGAUAUUAUGUACAUGCUUAUGAACACUUUGAGAAGGGAUUGUCUAUGAUGAUAAUGUUGUUGUUGUUGUUGUGUCAUUGUAAGGACAAUUAUACACACACUCCAUGUUUAAAUAAGAUUAUGACGUAUUUUUGGUGUCAAUUGAAAGGCUAGUUCUCAUGUGCACCUUUACAUACUAUUAUGCAUGAAAUGUACAUGACCAUGAUGAUCCACUUGAAAGGUGUAGGUGUUAGUUAUUGUGUAUGUUGUUGUAUUGAUGCACGAUCCUUCUUCCCCUACACCCUUACAUGAUCUAUGCAUGAAAACACUAUGAUUAUGAUAUUAAUGUUGGGUUGAUUGAAAAGGACACUUUUAUGAACAUGAUGUGAGAAACUUACUCCCAUACUAAGGAUUCUAAGAGUGGAAGGCUAUUCUCACCUAAAGAAUCCACGAGUUACCAUGAUACCAUGAUCGUUGAGUGUUAGGCAUUCUUCCAUAAACAUGAUUAUAAAUUAAAGACUUAACAUGAUUAUUAAAAGGGUAUAUCUCCCUACAUGAACACGUAACAUGAACCAUGACACGAACAAGUAACAAGAACAAGUAACAUGAACAAGAACAAGAACGUGGGUUAGUUACUAUAGUCCCCUUAAGAGGUUCAACCUAGUGUGAAUGGGGGUAUGGGACUUCAUUCAGACAUUGCACAAGUAUGCUUUAAGAGUGGGCAUGGUAGGUUUCCCAUAUGACAUGAUAAAUAUGAGUUAUGCAUGCUUUAUUACGACUUAUGAACAUGAACAUGAAUAUGACUAUGGACUAUACCUAUGACUUCUUAAUGAGCUUUACUUAGUGUGGGGAUAUGGGACUUCACUUAUACAUUGCAUAAGUAGACUUAUAAGGGGGUUGUGGUGUGGUUUCCUUAUACUAUGAAUAUAUGUGAACUUAUGUAUGCAUGAUAUGGGUUGUUGUUAUGAAUGAUGUUACCUAUUAAAAAACAUGAAUAUGAAUGUCUCUUUGUCUAUAUGUGAUGGUUGUGAAUAAGGUCAAGGUAUGUUAUGCAUGAAUACAGUAGCCUAGAAGUGAUACUUAGUGUAGAUAGGAUUAUGGGGUCCUAUCUAUGCAUUGCACAAGUAGAGUUCAAGGUUGAUUAUGUGAUGAUUCUACUAUGAUGAGAUAAAAUUGGUAUUUGUAUAUGCGUAUGAAAUAUGCCUUGUGAUGGGAUAUUAAUUAUGUUGAUGUUGGAGAUUAUGCUUGAUAUUAUGAAUUAUGUUGAUGCUGGAGAUUAUGCUUGAUAUUAUAAUGACAUCUCUUAUGUUAUGAUGAAGUGUAUGUGAGUUGCCUUCUCAGCUGCAUUCUCUAACUAUUUCAAAAAUUAUGUUCUAAAAUGGCAUAUAGCAUGGUUUCAAAUGAGAUGUCCCUUUUUUGCAUGUUUUAAGGAUUUUUAUGCAUGGCUUCCUUACUUAGUACUUUUUGUGCUAACCCCAUCUUUCUACAAUUUCUAUAAGUAUAGGCUUUGGAGAUAUGGGAUGCCAUCCUCGUGGUUAGGUUCAUAGUAGAUCAAGAAGAAGAAUAUUGGUGAGUCCUCAUUGUAUUCGCGGACAAGACCAUAUGUCCUUUAUGUCUUUCAUUUAUGUUUAGAUUUAUGUAAGGGCUAUGUCCCUAAGUUUGUAAUUCAAGAGUUCUAAUUCAAGUGUUAGAUGGUUUGAGACAUAGUGUUAUAGAUUCUCUCUCAUUUUAUAAAGGACUUCGACUGUAAAGAAAAUUUUUAAUUCCGCACUAUUUUCCUAUGAUCUUAUGACUAUGAUUAUGCUAACGGCUUGUAUGAGACCCCUUCGAGGUCAAGUACACCGUGUUACAUCUAGGGGGUACCACUGGGUCAUGACUAACUUGGUAUCAAAGCAUAAGUCUUUGGGAUGGUUUUUUUAGGAUGUUUUAAACCACAUCUAGUUGAGUCUUGUUCAUAAAUGUGAAGUGCACCACAUUUUAUGAAUAGGAGGCUAUCGGAUGUUAGGAAAAACUUCACUUCUUCAUUCUCUAGUCGUGCCAUAGAGUUUAACUCUUUAAGGUCUUUCUCUCUAACCGGUGGUCUUUAGGAUAUGACUACUCGGAGGGUUUAUACUACAAGAAGUGAGGGAGAAGAUAGUGGUUGUUAUGCCAAUUAUGGCUAUGUGACUUGAUAGGACAUGAUAUGCUAAAUUUAUAUGUCACCCUUAGGGUGGAUUGGUAGUGUUAUUGUCAUGCUCCUAGCUGAUGAUAGAACCCGUAUAGCCAUUUUGUUUGUUCCCGAAUGAGCCUAUCCGAGAGUGGAAAGAAGGAAAUUCUAUGCCAUAAGUUUGGAUUAUGUUGUGUCUUAAGGUUGACUUUGAUGGUUGAAUGUACCACCUAGUUAAGGUGAGGAAGAAGAGUGUAAAUGUUGACCAACUUCAAAGAGUUAGUUAUCUUUUAAGAAUGAUCUUAAGCAUGGUCAUUGCGAUUAGGGUGUUUAUAUAAUACCUAUAUAUGAUUGGUUGAUAAAUCCCACCAAAGGUGAUCUUAUCGGUUGAAAUGGUGUAGAAUUGUCUUGAUCCAACCUUAAUAGAAUUGAGAUAGACAAAUGUUUCAUGGAUAAAGCUCUUCUAAGUUCCCCCUAAGAUUAACCAAAAGAAGGUGUCUACCCCAAAAUCUCAAGGACUGAGUAGUAGUGGAUCUUAUGUGAUUAGGCCUAUUUGUGCUUGUUGUGGAAAGAAACAUAAUGGUAAGUGUCUAGCGGGCACAAAGGGUUGCUAUGGUUGUGGUGGAAGUUACCACCUAAUAAGAAAUUGCCCGGUGCUUACGGCUAAGGGAAGAGAGAUGAAGAAAAUUAGGACCCAUUCUCUUCAAGCUAGAGGUAAACAAGAGUGUCCUUCAAAUGUGGCUACCGAUAUGCAUUUUAUGCUUACUUGUAUUUCGGUAGUACUUGUCUUUUGUGACUUGAUAAAUUGGGCAAGAUGAGCUUUUAUGUUCUCCUUAGUGUUCAUGGGUUUAAUUGUGGCCAUAUGUGUUUGUUGGUAUAACCCAACUUAGCCAUUAUGAGUUUUAUGAUGUUUUGGGGGAAUUUGAUGAAUAGUGAUGUUUAUGUGAUGCGUAGAGAUGUUGAGUGAGUAAACUACCUUGAAAGAGGCUAAUAGUGUAAAUUCUCCAUGAUUUAGGAUCACCUUGCGUGAGAGGGGUAAGAGUUGAGUGAUGACUUACUCCGACCUUAGAAUUUCAAGAAAGGUGCUUAGAUGGCAAGGCCGUUGAGUGUUCUAGAUGUUCAUGAUUUGGAUUGACUCGAAAUUCUCACCUUAUGAGUUAUUGUGAGUAUAAAGGGUUUAGUCCCGGCUUGGUUGGCAUGUGACACCUUGAAUGGGGUUGGUAAGGUUGCCUACGAGCUAGACUGCUUAAAUGAGAACCUCUCUAAUUUCGAAUGUACCAAUUAGGAUCUGAGACCGGCAAGUUGAGAAAUAGAAGAACAAGAAAGUGCUUCAAUGAAAUGUAGAGGAGUAUUAUUGUUACGACCCGAGAGCAACCCCUCGUCAUAACACGGCAUACUCGACCCCGAAGGGAUCUUAUACAAGCCUCAUCGCAUAGGUAGUAAAAAUAGUAAGGAAUUUAUAACGUUUUAUUGAAAACCAUACUAUCAAAAAGUCAUCAACAUUCAAAACAUUUAUACCCAAGCGCAAGACUAAGUCUCACAUGCAAUCUUAGACACAAUAUCAAAACAUAAAAGGGGCACAACCCUUUACAAUUGAAAGAGUUCUAAAUGUCUAUUACAUCAAAAUGAAACAUAAGAGAAAACGUCUAAACAUUUUUUCUCGAAUCCACGAGGACAUACCAAGACUUGGAGGAAUAGCAAUCCAAGCACUUCAGCUAGAGAAUCCCACUUAGUUACCCCAACUGUCACGCCCCGAGCCUACACCCUGGGCGGGACNNNNNNNNNNNNNNNNNNNNNNNNNNNNNNNNNNNNNNNNNNNNNNNNNNNNNNNNNNNNNNNNNNNNNNNNNNNNNNNNNNNNNNNNNNNNNNNNNNNNCUGAGCUAGAAUUUAUGGCUGUUCAAAGUUGGCCAGAUAUUCACAUUUUCCAUACUUAACCAAAAUUUCCAAACUUUAAAAUUCUUUCCAAAAAUGUAAAUUUCCAAUUCUAAGCCUCUUCAAUUAUUUCAUAUUGCCGGAUGUUACACCAACCUACACUUGUAGUAUAACAUAGAAAAAGAAUGGGUUAGCACAAUUAAGAACUAAGUAUGAUGACCAUGCAAAAACAUGCUAAAUAGGACAUUUGUUUGAAAGACAUGCUUUCUGUUAUUUUGGUAAAACAUCAUGAAAUACAAGUAUAAGAGCCAUAAUGCUCAUUCAUAACCAACAUACUAAUCAUUAAUCACAAUAGAGACAUGUUCAACAUAUAAACCCAUUACUUUACCUUUAAUCAACCACCAUUCACCGCAGGUAACCCUUAGGCAACACUUUGUGCAAUGUAUGGAUAGUGUCCUAUACUCUCCACACCAAAGCAUCACCCUAAGGUCACCAAAGGGGAACUCACAUGCAACCUUCCCAACUUUAUCAAUAUUCAUUCACAAGAGAUAUGACAUUAUAUAAGGCAUGAUCAUCACAUAAGGACCAUCACCUAAGAUAACUCUAAGUCACACUUGUGCAAUGUUCAAGUCGAGUCCCAUACUACCACUCACAUUAACUGCUCCUUUGAAGACACCAUAGACUAGAUACAUUCAUACUCAACAAGUCAUAACAAGGAAGAAGUUCAUAGAUAUACAAUCCAAGUAUAGCAUGCAUUCUUUCAUUACACAUAUAAGAAUCUAAGUCACUCAUUCAUUAACUUCAUUAAGAUAUAAGAUCAACAUUCUUCAUUAACAAGAUCAUAAGAAUCCAUUUAUUUCAUUUACAUUAUAAGGAACACACCAUGACCUCCCUUAAAUGCCUACUUGUGCAAUGUAUAGAUGGCGUCCCAUUCCACCACCCACCCUAAGUAGUACAUCCUUAAGAAACCCAUAGUUUAUUAACAUUAUUAUAGGGGUAAGCCUUAACCGACAUAGACCGUGAGAGCUUGAAAUGGAAUAUCGGUGUCACCCACACCAGAUAAGGGAUUCCUAGUUGCCUAAGGUAGGACCAUUGUUCUUUAGCCUUAAGUGGAUCCACUAGCUAGACCUAUGUGGGCACAUAGUUUAUGGGAUAAGGAGAUUACUACUAGAUACCCCACCUCAACUUACAGAUGAGCAUCCAUGCCAAGAGAUUGCUACUACGUACCCCACGUCAACUCACAGAUGAGCACCCAUCACUAACCAUAUCCACUCGGUGCUUAGAAUUAUUCCCCAUAGAGUACAUUACAUUCAUUAAAUUAGGUCAUUAUGGGAUAAAUGAUUGUUAAUAGAUACCCCGCCUCAAAUCCUGGAUGAGCAUCCAUCCUAAACCCUACAUUCACUAAAAUGGGAUAUAGGGAUUGUUACUAGAUACACCGCCACAACUCCUGGAUGAGUAUCCAUCCCAUCCCACAUUCAUUCAUUGGAAAGCUCAUAGAUUCAAAGAUGAGUAAAACCUUUCACCUAAGAAUCCCAUUUCAUUCAUUAAAGUACAAUCGAGGAUAACCUUUCAAUAGACUCAAUAUUCAUUAUCAUUAUCAUUAUCAUUUACCUUCCUUCAUUCAUUCAUUCAUUCAUUCAUGUGUGUGUAUGAGAAUAACCUUUCACAUUGACACAUUCAUUCAUAAGUGUUAAUAGAGAGAAAAUAUUCAAUCUUAACACAAUUACCUUCUAAACAUGAUCAUCUUUCAUUCAUUUAGAUCACACACAUGUUUCACAUCACAUUCAUAUAUACAACAUCAUGAUAAUACUUCAAUUCAUCAAGUUAUGCCUUCAAUGCCAUGAUCACAAUGUACAUGAUAAGUAAACACCUCCACCUUUCAAGUGGAUCAUCAAUUCAAGCACAAUUCUACUUUAACAUGAUAUUAAGUCAAACUUGCCCUUCCAAGGCUAUGAUCACAAAUCCUCAACAAUUCACCAUAAUUAAGCAUAGAUGAUGAUACAAUUCAAUAACAAAAAUCAAUUUAUACAUAAAUCCACCAACAUUCAAUCAUGAUCAACACACCCACUUCAUAAGACCUUAUUUAGAAUUUGAAAGGAAUCAUGGGUUCAUAGAGUAAAAUCAUCAAUUAAACAUCAAUAUAAUCAUAAUUUGACAUUGAUAAAGCUUUAAAAUAGUUUGAUGAAAGAACCCAUGAGAUUGAGUGAAAACCUAGAUUUUCAUGAUUUGAAAACACAUUGGAAUUGGCUCCUUGAAUGGAAAAUUAGACAAGGAUUAGUACCACCAUACCUUUCUAUUUCUUUCCACGAAAUCCCCUUGAAAAAAAUUUCAAAACAUUGAAGAAAUUGGCCUUGGAAGCCUGGAGUCUUCAACCUCUAUGGAGGUUCUAGAGAGAGAUCUUUUGGAGGGGAAGGGUAGUUUGAAUUUGGGGUUUUGUAAUAAUAAACUCUAAAAUAGGUUUAAUAAAUUUUAAUACUCUUAAAAUACCUAAAUAAACAUAAAAUAACCGUCCCCUAACUUUAAAAGACUUGGGGUGAAUUUACCAAUUCACCCAUACACUUGCCGAGCCAAAAAACCAGAUUGCAGGUCCAAUCCACAAGUCACCAUCCACGGACCAUGGAUGGAUUGACAGGACCGUACUGUCCCUUUGUGGUUUGUAUAAGAGACCCUCUUUUGGGGGUCUUGACCUACGGAGGCCAUUCAUGUGGCAUGAAUAGACCUACGGGGCGUAGACCCCUUUCGUAGGUCACCCCCUUUUGGCCAACUUUCUAGCUUCAAGGGGUCUUGGGAGGUUAGACUUGGGGUCCUCCUCAAGGACCCUUAGGGUGGUCCUUGGGGAAUCGUACCUUGAUGUUUGUCCCCUAAAAGCCUCACCAUGACUCGGGGUAACAUCAAACACCAUCACAACUCAAGACGAACACAAACGCACACACGUUAGGCUCUAGUUUCACUGGUUCAUUUUUAGGGUCGUUACAAGUAUUUAGUAAGGGUUUUAGUUGAAGGUGAUUACUUGGGAGGCCUAGGGACAAUGAGUUGUCCCAAUAUCCUUAUGUUCCCUUCUAUUCCUCUUCUAGCUCAAAGAUGAUAAGUUCUCCUUGAUUGAUUUCUUGAUUGUGGAGUCUUGGAUGUUAUAUGUGUCCUAUGAUUCCCUUCUCCCUUAGAGUUACUUUUGGUAACCUUGGUACGGUUUGGAUGCAUGGUUAAACAGACCUCUAUUAGAGCCCGGUAAGGUUAUAAUGAGUCUUGGUAAUGCAUUGAGUGUGUUGAAAGGAGUAGUAUUUGAGGUGUUUGUAAACAAGGGGCUUACUCCCAACGGGGAGAUCAUGUGCUCUAGUAGCAAAGUUAAUUGAGAGUCCCGAUAUCCUCAUAUUCUCUUUUAUUCCUAUUCUUGCUUGAGACCAAGACUUUCUUUUUGGUCUUGUUCUAUGUCUAGGAGUCAUGAGUGUUCUAGAAAUUCUAUGAUCUCCUUAUGUUAAGCAUGUUUUUGAAACAUUCCUAUUUUGUAUAAACCGAAUUUAUACCAUGACAUACAUAUUUCCCAUGUUGAUGUGCAUUCUAGUAUGGAGAUGACAUAUUUGACUUCAUAAGAUGGUGUGAUGAACAUGCUUUGUUGUGUUUUUGAUGAAAUGGCACUUGGGCUCCAUGUUGAUUGUGUCGAGCUUGCUUUUAAUGAGAAAAUGUAAUUCUUCCUAUGACUAUGUGAUUAAUGUUAUUUAGAAGUGUUGUGUAGGCUCACUCCUAAGGGGGAGAAGGUAUGCCUAAAUAAUAUUGUUGUUAUGUGCUUAUAUGUUGUCAUGACUUCUUUAUAUAUCAUGAGAACUUGUAUUUUUAAAGAAAAUGAGUUUUAUGUGAAAUGUUUCCCUCAUGUUGUGGUGCUUUGAGUAAGAGUUGCCUAUUGUACUCCAUGAGAAGAAUAAAUGUACAUGUUUUAGUUAGGAGAUAGAAGUUCCUCCUCGAACAUGACAAGUAAUGAGAAUCUCAUGCUUACAUAGGUUGUUUAGAUAUAGUUCAUACUUUCUUCUAUUGCAUUGAACAUGUUGAGUUGAAGUUGAUGUUUCCUCCUUGCGUAAGUGCACAUUGUGAAUAGUAUAGUUUGAGUUGUGCAAUAUUGUGAUGUUUCGUGCAUGAUUGGGCAGCUAGUCUUGAGUCAUUUUUCCCUUAAUGUGUUUAUAGUGUAACUUGAGAACGAAUGUUCCUAAGUAGGAGAUAAUGUAACGACCAUAAAAAUAAAUAAGUUAAACUAGAGCCUAACGUGUGUGUGUUUGAGUUUGAUGUGAGGUUUGAGUGAGGUUUCAUGUUGUUUUAUGUUGUCCCGAGCUAUGGUUGAGGGGUUAAGGGGUUAAACGUCAAGGUAUAACUCCCCAUGGACUAUCCUAGGGGUCCUUGAAGAGGACCCUACGCUUAACCCCCAAGACCCCAAGGAAAACCAAGACUGCCCGUAAAUAGGGUGACCUACGAAAGGGGUCCACGCCCCGUAGGUCCAUCCACUCCUCGUGGAUGGCCUCCGUAGGUCAAAGGGCCCAAAACCAUGCUACAUCCCCAGACCACGAACCAACAGAACGGUCCAUCACCAGACUAACGGUCCGUGAGUCCAGCACGCUUCUUUAAUGGGCUCACGGUCCAUGAGUCCUGGGUGUGAAUCACCCCUGCAAUAUGUCAAGUGGUUCAGCCUUGGAGGGGUGAAUUGGUAAAUUCAGCCCAAGUCCUAAUAAGUUGGGAGAUGGUUAUUUUAAAUGUAUUAAGAUAUUUUAAGAGUAUUAAAACAAUAAAAUACUAUUUUAGAUUUCAUUAUUCAAAUCCCCCAAAUCAAUACCCAACUACUCUUCUCUCCAAAAAUCUUCUCUCUAGAACCUCCGUUGAAGAACAAAGAAAGAGAUCAGGUAAAGAUUGAAGGAAGGAGCUUUUCACUUCGAAUUUGGAAGGAUUCUACACCUAAGGUAUGAGAGUUCUUCAUCCUUGGGAAGCUAUCACCCAAGGGGCCCUUUCAAAAGCUAUUAACUCAAUUCUAGAAAACAUAAUUAGCUAGGGUUUCAACUCAACUCCAUGGAUUCCUUUUAAAGUUGAUUUGAAAGGUUGAAUUAUGUUUUUUUAUGAAUGUAUGAUUGAUUUCAUAUGAUUUUAACUCAACUCCUUCAAGAAUCCAUGAGACCAUCAACCCUAGCUAUGGUUCAUCUUUACAUUUUGUGUUGGUUUUGCAAGUUGGUCCAAUUGAUUGGAUGUGAGGUAAUUAUGAUGUAAUUGCAUGAUCUAAGUAUGAUUCUACAUGUAUAUUUGACUAUUAUAUGAUUGUGACGACCCGGGCUACCCCCUAGAAGUAACACGGCGUAAUUGUUGUCGAAUGCGUCGCAUACAAGCCCUUAGCAUUUAUUAUCACAUAAAGACAUAGAAAAAUUAAAACAUUUACAAUAGAAGUCAACUUAUUUCAUAUAAGGAAAAUAGGAUCUAGACUUGUCUCAAUCACCAUCUAGAACAUUAGAGUACAAAGAGGGACAAAGCCCAUUACAUCAAUAAACUCCCCAACAAUGGGAGAUACAAUAUAGUCUAGAACAUAAAAAGUAAACUAGAAAGUACAAUCAAUAACAUCUUGUCCUCGAACUAUAGGACUCAUCAAGCCUAGGGAAUAGUCGACCCAAGCUUCACCUUGAAGGAAGUAGUAAGUAUCAACGACCGGAACCUACACUCAUAGUAAAGUAGAAAAUAUGGGUUAGCACAAUUAAUUGCAGUAAGUAUGGAUACCAUGCACAAAAAUCCUUAAAACAUGAUUAAAAGGGACAUUUAGUUGAAGUCAUGCCUUUGUUUAGUUUGAAAACCAAUAUGCACAUUUAUGAAGAUACAUAAAGCAAUUCAACAUAUGAGCAACCCAAAAGCCACACUAGUGCAAUGCAAAGGUAAGAUCCCAUAACCCUACCAAAUGCUAAGUAUCACAUUUGGCUCACCAACAACAUACAUAUCUUACCAUAGUCAUAAACAACAUACAUAAGAGUGAAGACAUUCAUAUUCAUAACAUUCAUACAUACCUUUUCAUACAUAGUUCAUAAGUCAUCAUACCAUCAUAACAUAAGAGAACCUUACCCUAAUCCCUCUUAGAGCCUACUCGUGCAAUGCAUAAGUGAAGUCCCAUACCCCCACUCACACCAAGUAAACCCCUUAAGAGGUCAUAGUUAAAGUCCACGUCCUUACCAUUGUUCACUUUCAUAUUAACUUAGGCAAAGAUUGCAUUAACUGACAAAGACCAUGUGAGCUACAUGGAAUCCGGUGUUCUAUUCCGAAACCGAAAAGUGGUAUUUUACUUGCCUAAGGUAGAACGUACAUUCUAGCUAUUUAGGUGGAUCCACUAGCUAAGACCUAUGUGGGCACAUAUUUAUGGAACAAAGAGAUUGCUACUACAAACGCAGACUUGCUAAACGUAGAAGGUUUCCAUCUCAUGAGAUAUCCUACAUUGGGAGGCUGGACUUGCUAAACGUAAAAGGCCUCAUCUCACUUUCAUGUCCUCUCGGUGCUACACAUUAUUCCCUUUAAAAGUCACCAUUAGCCUUUACUUAGGUUCAUAGUAAUAAGAGAGAGUAUUAGACACUCAUGUCAACAUAUCAUCAUAAUAGCUCAUAGGUUCCUUAAGUGAGAAUGCUCCUUUCACUUUAGAAACACAAGCAUGUGAGUAAACCUUUCACAUUUUAGUCGGAUUGUGAUAAUGGGAAUGUCCUUCCAACCAACCCAACAGGUUCAUUAUAAGCAUACACACAUUCUUCAGACAUAAUCAAGUGCAUAGUGUAUAGGGAUGAAGGAUCCUACAUCAAUACCACAACAUUAGAUAUGGGGUCAUUACCAUCCAAGUAAAUCACACACUCAUUUAGAAUUAACAUCAACAUAUACAAACCCUAGACAAUUGCCCUUCAAGGCCAUGAACAAACAUCAACCCUAACUUCUUGAAUUACCACAUUAGAUAGAGAGAUUUCAUGAUUCAACAACUUAAUAAACAUAAACAUAAUCAAUUAUCAACUUCCAUGGCCUGUCAAGUCACAUCUUAGUUCACAAUUUAGGAAGAAAAGGGAAACUAUGGGUCCAAGAUAGACUUUCAUCAAAAACCAUCAUGACUACAACAAUCUAACCAUAAACCAUCAUAAUUAAUCGUAAUAAAUCAUAAUUGAUGAAUAGAAAUAGUUAUGGAAAAAGAACCAUGUUUAGAGUAAAACCCUAGAUUUUGGAAGUCAUAGAAACACACUUUGGAGGGACUUCUUGGGGGAUAGCUACCCAAGAAUGAAGAGCAUCCAUACCUUAGGUUGAAUCCCUCACGAAUUUGGAGAAGAAAGACAUGUUCUUGAGUCCCUAGCUUGAGCUUCGUCUUUGUUCUUCAAUGGAGUUUAGAGAGAAUAUUUUGAUGUUCUUGGAUUUCUUCUUUUAUUAAGUGGGAGUAACUAAAUUUGAGUGAAUUUGACCUUAAAAAGUAUAUAUACUUAUUAGGAAAAGUGUGGAAAAGUGUUGGUUCGAGUUUUGGAAAGAUUAGAUAAAGACCCCUACUUAAGACUUGAAAAUUAUGGACUUCACGCUCGAGCUCGCCCAUUGGACCCUCUUGGCUCGCCAAGUGAACCCUUGGCUCGCCCAAAUUUCUAGUGAGCUCCAAAAAUGGGCAGCUCACUAGGCGAAGGGAGAGGUCUGUUGGGCGGAUCACCAUCCCAUUGGGCGACCCACGACCUAGCUCGUCCAUUUCUCCAAUACUUAGGCUAAGUGGGACAGCCUACUAGGCGACCCAAGUGCACUUUGGCGCAUCACCAAAGAACUUGGGCCACCAUGCUGCCCUUCGCCAACCUAUCCAAAGAGAGAUCAAGUUAUCAGUCACCCAUCCUAGAUAGUGUAGGUCCCCAACAUCACCCUAGAUGUUUACCUCCCUUACUUUAGCUUUAGUUUGGUCUAAAACAUCCCCUUAAGUUGCAUAAACACACACAUUAGCUCUAAUUCAACCUAGACACUAGCUUCAAGUGAUGCCAUCCCACACGAUGAAGCUCUAGUCUAGCCUAUUGAUUUUCCGGGUUGUUACAUUAUCUCCCCCUUUAAGAACAUUUAUCCUCGAAUGACUUUUUAAACGUAUUAAGGGAUUAAAGACUCAAAACUAGCAGCCCAUCAUACAAGACAUAUCUAUAAAAUGCACAAAUCAUAGGAGGAACCAUUGACUCCCCAUCAUAAGCUCAAUGCAACACAAAAAGUGGGAACUACAUCCACAAUCUCAUUAUGCACCAAAUUUACCAUUUUAUAUAAACAUAGGAGAAACUACCUUAUCAAACACAAGCAAGCUCAAUAUAACAAUAUUAAGAAAACAUGCUAUUUCAUCACAACCUAGCUAAACAUGUUCAUCAACUCAUCUCAUGAAGUCACAUAUGCCAUCAUCAUAAUCAAAAGCAAUUCAACAUGAGAAACAUAUAAUCCGUGAAAGCUCAAUUUAUAAAAAUCAUGAAUUUCAUCAAGAACAUGCCAAAUACAAGGAAAAUCAUGCAAAACUCAUACAAUAUACAUGACUCCCCAAAACACUAACAACUCAAGAGGAAUGUAGUUACCUCAAGUUUGAAUAGGAGAAGGAGGAAAAAGAUGAGGAUAAUGGGACAUGAUAUCGGCUUCGGCCUCCCAUGUAGCACCCUCAACUAAGUGAUUCCUCCAUAGAACCUUAACAUAAGUUAUUUCCUUGUUUAUCAACCUCUUAACUUGCCGGUCCAAAAUCUCUAUAGGAACCUCUUCAUAAGAAAGACUUCCAUAAACUCCUAAACUCUCUAAAGGAAGGAUGUACACCGGAUCACCGAUGCACUUCUUACGCAUGGAGACAUGAAACACCGGGUGAAUCGGAGCUAAUUCAUUGGGUAUGUCCAACUCAUAUGCCACCUUUUCGACACGUUUCAAGAAUUGGUAUGGGCCCACGUAUCGGGGACUUAACUUCCCCUUUUUGCCAAAUCUCAUAACAUCUUUCAUAGGUGAAAUCUUCAAGUAGACCCAACCACUAAUUUCAAACUCUAGAUCCCUCCUUCUAUUAUCGACUAUGGGCCAUUUUCAACCUUUCUCUAAUAAGUCGAACUUUUUCGAUGGCAUCAUAAACUAGUUCGGGACAAACUAGAGCAAACUCACCUACUUCAAACAAACCCACCGGUGAUCUACACCUUCUACCAUAAAGUGCUUCAAAUGGAGCCAUGGCGAUGCUUGAGUGGUAACUAUUGUUGUAGGAAAAUUCUAUCAAAGGGAGAUAGUCAUCCCAACUACCUCUGAAAUCAAUUAUACACACCCUUAACAAGUCCUACAAGGCUUGAAUGGUCCUUUCCGCUUGACCAUUCAUUUGAGGGUGGAAAAUGGUACUAAGUUUAACAUUUGUACCAAACCCUUUUGGGAAUGCUUUCCAAAAAUGUGAAGUAAAUGGAGUACCCCUAUCCGAUAUGAUAGUUAAGGGAACCCAAUGCAACGUCACAAUUUCAUUAAUGUACAACUUGGUGUAGUCUUACACCGAGAAUAAAGUCUUAACCGGAAUGAAGUGGGCCGAUUUAGUCACUCUAUCAAUAAUGACCCAAAUAGAAUCACGUUGCCUUUCAGUACGAGGCAACCCCACCACAAAGUCCAUAUUAACAUCCUCCCACUUCCAAGUACGAAUUUCUAUAUAUUGGGACAAACCUCCGAGUUAUUGGUGUUCAUCCUUAACUUGUUGACAAUUCGUACAUUUGGCUACAAAGCCCGCUAUAUCCUUUUCCAAACCAUUCCAUCAAUAGACUUCCCGUAGAUCACGGUACAUCUUGGUGGCUCCUAGAUGAAUAGAAAAUCGCGAAUCAUGAGCUUCUUCGAUAAUUUGCUCCCUUAAGCCAUCAAUAUCCGGGACACAUAAUCUACCGUGGUACCUAAGUAGCCCAUCUCCCCCUUGGGAGAAAGCCUCAAAGGAUGAUUCGGAACUAUAAUGAACCAUAAACCCACCCUUGGUGGAAUCCACUAGUUGGACACCUAACCGGGCCAACGUAUAUACAUCACGAACCAACUCCUUCUUCUCAUCUUCUACAUGAGCCACACUUCCUAUGGACAAUCUACUUAGAGCAUCCGCAACCACAUUAGCUUUUCCGGGGUGGUAAAGGACACUUAUGUCAUAAUCCUUCAAGAGCUCUAACCACCUUAUUUGUCGGAGAUUCAAAUCUUUUUGGCUAAACACGUAUUGAAGACUCUGUGGUCGGUAAACACAUCUACAUCCACUCCAUAUAGAUAGUCUCUCCAUAUUUUAAAGGCAAAAACCACCGCCGCUAGUUUGAGAUCAUGUGUCGGGUAAUUCUUUUCAUGUGUCUUGAGCUGACUUGAAGCAUAGGCAAUUGCCUUACCAUUUUGCAUAAGGACACACCCCAAACCUACUUAGGAAGAAUCACAAUAUACCACAAACCCAUCGGUACCAUCCAAUAAGGUCAAUACCGGAGCGGAGGUGAGUCUAUCAUUUAAUUCUUGGAAGCUCUUUUCACAAGCCUCCGACCACUCAAAUUUAGACUUCUUUUGGGUCAAGGCCGUUAAUCGAGAAGCAAUAGAUGAGAAGCCCUCAACAAAUCUCCUAUAAUACCCGGCCAAACCGAAAAAGCUUCAAAUAUCGGUGGUACUUAGAGGUUUAGGCCAACUCUUAACCGCAUCGCUUUUCUUCGGAUCAACCUCUAUAACCAUACUCGACACAAUGUGUCCAAGAUAAGCUACCGACCUUAGCCAAAACCCGCACUUGCAAAAUUUAACAUAAAGUUGGUGGUCCUUGAAGACUUGCAACACUACCCUCAAAUGCUUCAUAUGAUCACCCUCACUUCUUUAAUAGAUCAAGAUAUCGUCAAUAAAGACGAUCACAAAAAAUUCAAGAUAUUGCCUAAAUACCCUAUUCAUAAGAUCCAUGAACGCCCCCGGGGCAUUUGUUAGACCAAAAGACAUAACUAGGAAUUCAUAGUGACCAUAUCUUGUAUGGAAGGCCGUCUUAGGAAUUUCAACCUCGCCCACCCUAAAUUGGUGAUAACCCGACCGUAAGUCCAUCUUCGAAAAGUAACCAGCCCCUUGGAGUUGGUCAAACAAAUCUUCAAUCCUAGGGAGUGGGUACUUAUUCUUUAUAGUGACUUUGUUCAAUUGGCGGUAAUCUAUACACAUUCGAAGUGAACCAUCUUUCUUUUUCACAAACAAUACCGGGGAACCCCAUGGAGAUAUGGUUGGUUGAAUAAAAUCCUUAUCUAGAAAAUCUUUGAGUUGUUCCUUGAAUUCCUUCUAUUCGAUCGGAGCCAUCCGGUAAGGGAGAAUUUAUAUGGGUUGUGUGUCCGGCAAGAGAUCAAUGCCGAAGACUAUUUCCCGUUCGAGAGGGAUUCCGGGCAAGUCAUUAAGGAAGACUUCCGGAAAUUCCCUUACUACGGGGACCGACUCUAAAGGAGGAGUCUCUGACUCAAGGUCCUUAACUCUCACAAUAUGAUGGAUACACUCCAUAGAAAUCAUUUUCCUAGAUUUUAGAUAUGAAACGAAACGACCUCUAGAUAUUGUGUUUCCCUCCUUCCAUUCUAAAACGGGCUCAUUUGGAAAUUGAAACUUUACUACCCAAGUUCUACAAUCAAUGGAAGCAAAACAAGCAUGCAACCAAUCCAUCCCUAAUAUGACAGCAAAGUCCAACAUAUCUAGUUCUACCAAAUUAACCAACGUGACUCUUUUAGACAAGGAAAUAGGACAAUCCUUAUAAACCUUUCUAGAAACUAUUGAGUCACCUAUGGGAGUAGAAAUUGAAAAAGGUUCCUCUAACUCGACGGGGAGUACAUCAAAUUUCAUAGCCACUAAUGGGGUAACAAAAGAUAAAGUGGCACUGGGUCUAAUUAUGCAUAAACAUUAAUGGAAAAUACUUGUAACAUACCGGUGACAACAUCCGGAGACCCAUCUUGAUCACUUCUAAAUUAGAGAACAUAGAAGCGAUUCUUCAUGGGAGCAUCGAAAUUUGAGCCACUUGGAGGGACUUGCUUGCCCUCUCUCCCUUGAACGAUUAGCACAGGAAAAUCCCUCUUUGUGUGGCAACUCUUACCACAACUAAAACACUCAUCCGUGCCAACAAGGCACUUGCCAUCAUGCCUCUUGCCACAUUUCGCACAAGUAGGUCUAUCAACAAAAGAACCACCACCACUACCACCUUGUGACUUUUGAGUAGGCUCCCUCUUUUUGUUGACCUUAGGAGUUCUAGAAGUCCCUUGAUUAGAAAACCUCUUCUUAAACCUUGGUUUGCCUUGAACCUCAAAUCUACCUUUAGAAUAAUUACCUUCAUCAACUCUUGCCCUCUUCACUUCUCUACCCAGUAGCUUCAGCUUUUGUUCCUCGAUUUGUCCGGCAUGAACUAUCAUACGUGAGAUGUUCAUGGUUGGAAUAAGCAUCACUGACCUACAUUCAUUCACCACAAGAUAGGAUAUCCCCAUAACAAAUUUGUUCAUUUUUGCUUUGGAGUCCUCCACAAAGGUUGGGACAUAUUAAGACAAGUGUGAACUGGAGGCAAUAUUCCUUCACACUCAUACCUUCUUGGCGGAGGUUGAUAAAUUCUUGCAUCCUCUUCUCCCUUAACUCUAGGGGGGAAAACCUAUCAAAGAACGCCGUCUUCAAUACUCCCCAAUCAACCGGUCCCUCUCUAAUGCACAUCUCUUACUUCCAUUACUCAUGCCACACUUGAGCCACGUCCUUUAGUAGGUAGGUGGCUAUUUCUACCUUCUCUCUUGGAGACACUGCCAUAGCUUCAAGAACCUUAAACACCUCCUCAAUAAACCCUUGUGGGUCUUCAUCUACAUUGGAACCAUAGAAUGUAGGGGGAUUCAUCCUUGUGAAAUCCCUUAUCCUUGAAGCGGUAGUACUUGCAAUGGGGUUCACAGGGACCCUAGCAUCUCUAGUGACUUGAGCCGUAAGAGCAUGAGUUAAGGUUUGGAGAGCCAUCUGUAUCUCCACAUUGGUCAUGGCCCACUCCUCAUUAGGAUCUUGAGGACCUUAGACCCCUUGAAGACCUUGGGGAGGAACUCCCUCAACAUUAGCAAUCUCCUUUUCCACUCUUUUUGCAGCCGCUCUUCUUAUAUUCAUAUUCCUAUAUGUAUAUGAAAAGGGUUAGGAAAACGGACUUCAUAGACUAAAAACUCUAAGGCACGACUAAUGAAUAAUCAAAGAAGUGAAAAGUUCCUAAGCAUCUUAUAGCCUCUCAUUCAUAAGGGUGACAUGCUUCACAAUUAAGAACAAGACUCUACUAGACGUGGUUCAUGAGACAUUAUCCUAGAAUCAUUCUAUAACCUUAUGCUCUGAUACCAUGUUUUUCACGACCCGAGCUAUCCCUUAGAAGUAACACGACGUAAUUAACCCCGAAAGGGUCACAUACAAGCCCUUAGUAUUCAUCAUCACAUAACGACUUAGAAAAAUACGAAAAGAAUUAAAAACUCUUACAAUAAAAGUCAACUUUUUUCAAAUAAGGAAAAUAGGAACUAGACUUGUCUUAAUCUCCAUCUAGAACAUAACAAUACAGAUAGGGUGAAAGCCCUUUACAUUAAUAAAGUCCCCAACAAUGGGAAAUACAAUAUAGUCUAGAACAGAGGAAGUAAACUAGAAACUAGAAUCAAUAAUAUCUUGCCCUUGAACUUGAGGAUUCACCAAGCCUAGGGAAUAGUCGACCCAAGCUUCACCUUGAAGAAGGUUAAUGUAAUAUGAAUUACGUCAAGGCCAUUUAUGAGAAGCCACACUCAAGACCUUCGGAGGAUUCAAGGUCUAUUCAUGAAGAUUGAGGUGCUUGUGAUAGUAUUGACAGCAAACAAGGGAUUCCAUGCCUUGAAAGUUGUAGCUGGAAAUUACGGCGAUCCAGAACGUGGCUAAGCGGAACAACCAUGCAUGAAGGCUCACCAACCAGGUUGGCGCAUCGCCCAAUCCAGUAGGCGACCCGACCCAGCUCGCCUUUGGCAUUUCGGGUCACUUUUGGGCCCUUUUAUCUUAACCAUAUAAAUAGCUAGCUUGGGUUCAUUUUAGACGUCUGAACAAAUCUAGGCUUGGCUCUUAUACCAAAUGAUGUAAUUCUAACAGGUAAAAUCACAAUAAUCAGUGGAAAACAAGAAAGAUAGAAGAAGAGACAAAAGAUAAGAAACAAUUGGAAACUAAAGGAUGUAUUAAAUCCAAUAACCUCCAAUCUAGAUCCUAACAAGCACCUAAUCAAGAUAAAAUAUAGACACCCACAAGAGGAAAUAAAGAGCAACCUAUGGGUAUGUUAAACCCAAAGACCUCACUUCGUUAAUCUAACAAGAAGCACCUAAAUCUUACGAAGACCUCAAGGGAAUCGACAUCCCAAGCUACCCCCAUUUCUAAAUAAGGUUCAAAAAGCUUACCAAGCUUUCAAACACUCACACAAGGAGUUUAGGUUUACAACCAUAAUAUUCAAAAUCAUUCUAAUACGCAGUCUAGAUCCUUUUUCAGUCUGUGUAGCUUUGUCUUGAGAUGUAAUCUGCAAUAACAUUCUUGUUAGUACAUAUUAUUUCUAUUGUAAAUGUAAAAUUUAAUAUAUUUAUUACUAGUCUUCGUAUCUCUUUUGUUGUUACUGAAUCUUGUACCUUUCGAAACAUAUAUAGAAAUAUUAGCAAAUAUAGAUGAUAUAAAAUCUACAGAAAUAAAUACAGGAGAUAUUAAGGAUACAAAAGCAAGCACAUCAGGAGUUAAAAACCCAAAAGAAUUAAAUCCCAAUUAUUAUUCAGUUAGUUAUGAACAAUCUGAUAGGUACGAUAGCAUAUGGAAUAAAAGAUUAAAUAAAAAAUGGACACCAACCACAACAACUACUCGAAAUAAUAAUUUUUUAGAUCUGUUCCUUUGUAAUAAUAUUCUCUAAAUAUGCAUGUAUAUUCUUCUAUAUAACACAUGUUACAUAUUGCUAAUUUUAACAUUAAAUUCCUGUUUAACUGUUUCUCUUUAUUUUGUUCUUCUGUUUCUGUGGUUGUACUACUAAAUUCAUUUUUGAUAGCUAUUUCAUAUUUAUUUAAUAUAUCAAUUAGUGUUGUUGCUAUUUCACCAUCUAUUAUUUUAUUAUUUCUUAGUGUUUUUAUACUUUCUUUUGCUCGGUUUUGUAACCAUAACUUUACUGUUCCUAUAAGUGUUCUUUCUAUAUAUCCUGGUACUUCUGUCAUUCCUAUUUUAUUAUCUAUUAAUUAUUUUGAUAUAUAUCCUACCCACAAUUGGAUUGUUUAUUUAUAUCUGUUAUGCAGUAAUUUACCAAUUUUGUGGAGCUUUUCAGGUGUUAAUUAUGUCACUUUUCAGGUGUUAAUUCUGUCAUAAUACAUUUUUUCUAAGGGUAUUAAUAUUAUAAUUUCUUUUAUAUUUUCUAUAUACUGUAUAUCUUGGGUUCGUUGAUAUGUUUCUAUAUUUUCUUUUAUCAGAUUUCCUAAUAAGGUGAUAUCUGCAAUAGUUGCUUGCCAAUAUUGAAGGUAUUCAUAAUUUAUCAUUAGUCUGAGUAUUCUAAUUCUAAAUCAUAAAUGCUAAUUCAUUCUAGAUCAUAUAUUUCAUCUAUUUCAUACCAUGUCUGAUUCAUUAGCUCUUCAUCUUAAGGGUCAAAUAUUUUUUCCCAUAUCAUCCUUCUUAAUUCAAUUAUUUCUAUAUCUUUUAGUAUAUAUAAAAUCAGUGUUUCAUAAGCUAAUAUCAUUUCAUCAUGUAGAUCCAUAUUAAUGUUCUGUUGUUUAAUAAAAAAUUCCCUUAUACCAUAUGCAUAAUAAAUACUAUCCUUAUUAGAUUACUAUAAACUAGAUUAUUUUCAAUCAUGUGGUCUUGUCACUAUUAACAUCGUACUUUCAAAGGUACUCUCUUCCUAACAGCGCCUCAACUCUGUUUACUCCCCUCACGGCUUCCUUGCCUAUGGUUUCAACUUUAGGAUGGCAUAGUUUUGGAAGUUUUUUCUUUUUUCCUCAUGUUAACAAACUAGAAAACAUGCUUCAAAUAAUUCUAGUAUAAUAAAAACUAGUAUGAACUUAUUUAAUCAUGCUAUGAUAUUCAGGAAUUAACAGAUUUAGCUAUGCAUAAUCAUAAAUAGAUAUACCUAUUUUUCGAUUAGAUCUGGUAUAUUUUGCUCCAUAGCUUAGAUUAGAAACUUGAUAUUUAUUUGAGAGUAUUUUUGUUUACAAGAGGCUUGCUUUCCGUCGAGAAAGUCUUGUCUUAGAUGUGCCUAAUGGCUCUCUAUUUAUACAAGUAGAGAUGCUUCUAUUAGUAUUUCUACUUUACAUCUGUCCUAUACUAUUCCUACUUUGUCUCCUAAUAAUUAUUACUUUACAUCUGCACUACACUUUAAUAAUGCACACUAAUUUACACUUGUCUACUAAUAAUGCACACUACUUUACACUUGUCUACUAAUUUACAUAAGAUUCUUGAUCCCACGAACUUAUUUUUACAAUAAGACAAACAACUUUACUUUAAUUUAUCUUUAUCUCAAUCUUGUUUUUUAUCUUGUCUGGUGGCUCUUUAUUCUAGCUGGACAGCUGGACUUACAUUGUCUUCUCCAUAGCAUUUUGAACAUUGAUGAUCUGGGUAUCUGUGUCGAAUAGCUUUGCAAUAAUUUGUCAUUAUCUCUGGUGAAAUAAAGUUCUUCUGUAUUGCUCUUGUAGUUGGCUGUUGUUCUGGUUUCAAUAAGCUUAGUAUCCAUUGUCGUAUUUCUUCCAUAUCUGCUUCUCUAAUUUCUCUGGAAUUUGAAUAUAUCAUAGUUUGUUCUCUUGCAUAAUAGCUUCAUACUGAAUUUCCAUUUAAAUAAUUGGUUGUUAACUCGUUCAAAAUAGUAGCUAUUCCAAUAAUUCGCUUUCUUGCAUAAAACUUCGGUAUCUCUAUCUUUUGUAUCUCGUCCUGUUGUUCUAUUUUUUCUCGUAUUAUCAUUUCUCUAGUCAGUCCAAUUUUUAUAACCUGUAUGAUAGGUUUAAUUUCAUCGUACAAUAUUUCUGCUGGUGCUGAGUAGAAUUUUAUAUAAAAAAGUGUUCCUUUAGUUAUUCUUUUAUAAUGCAUAAAUGCCUUAUGUAGUUCUGGUAUUGUUGAUAUCUCAUCUCUUGUUUGGGUAUAUACGGUACUUAACAAUCCGUAGUUGUAGCAAGUUCCUACUAGAUUUUUACUUGUUCCUGGUUGUGCAAUCAACUUGUUAUAUCCCUGCAAAUUUUGUGUAAUAUAGUCUUCAUAGGGUUUUUUGUAUUCUUGGAUCUUGGAUUUUGGAUUUUGGUUUAGAAAGGUCUGUAUUUUAUGGAUGUUUUCUAUGUAAGCUCUGGUUAUAUGGUUAUAAGUCUUUUUGUUUUGUCCUAGGCUUUCUUUAUAGGUAUUUAGCUGAGGGUGGUAUGAAUAAUGGAUUCUUUUUGUUUUUUUGGCAUAAAUGGUUUUUCGAACAUCUUAUUCAUAUUGGUAUUAACGUAUCUAGUUUUAUUUUCUUCUUUUGUUGCAGAUGCGCUCCCUGUAGCUGCAUGUAACAGAUCAUUAUGGGUUUUUAGGUGUUUCCCAAUGUCACCUUGUAGCUCUGGAAUUUUUAAGUCUUCUGAUCGACUUAGCUCCGCAUGUUUGUAGUCAUGCUGCUGACUUUUUAUUUGUUGUAGCUCUUUGUCAAUAUUUUCUACUUUUGUGCAAAGUAGGUUCAUAGCUUUGAGUAUUUCUUCUAUAGUAUUUUCUUUUUCAGUCUGUGUAGCUUUGUCUUGAGAUGUAAUCUGCAAUAACAUUCUUGUUAGUACAUAUUAUUUUUAUUGUAAAUGUAAAAUUUAAUAUAUUUAAUACUAGUCUUCGUAUCUCUUUGGUUGUUACUGAAUCUUGUACCUUUCUUGUUAUCCACUAUUAUACCUGCGUAUUAUCUGUUCUUACAAUAAAUUUGUUAUAUACGAUGUAUGGUUCAAAAGCUAAUAAACAUUUAUAUAUUGAAUAUAAUUCUUUUCUAUUUAUUUCCCAUUUUAUUUUGGGGUUUGUAAAUGUUCCCGAAUAAUAUCUACAAUGAUGUUCCAUCUUUUAUUUAUUAUAUCUAUAUUUUAAUACUCCUCCGUAGCUUAUUUCACUUGCAUCUGAUUCCACUAUAUAUAUAAAUUCUUUAUUUUUAUCUGGAAAACAUAGUUUAGGUAAAUUUUUACAUAAUAAUUUAUUUUCGUAUUUGUUCUUGGUCUUUAUUGUCAAAAUGACACUCUACGUCUUUCUUUAAUUUCUUAUGCAAAGGUUUUAAGUUUUCUGCUAAAUUAGGUAUAUAUUCUCUCACUUGAUUUACUAACCCUAGAAACGAUUGUAAUUUCUUUUUCGUAUCUAUUUGUUCUUCGGAAUUUAUUAUCUUUUGUACUAUGUGUGUUUGCAUUUUUAUACCAUUUUUAUCUAUUUGUAUUCCUAGAAAUUCUAUUUGUGUUUUCAUUAUUUCUGCCUUUUUCUUACUUAGACUUAUUCCUGAGUAUGUUAUAAUAUGUAUAAAAUUGUCUAGUAAUUUUAUAUGUUCAUCUUGAGUCCUUGAAUAUAAUAAUAUAUCAUCAAUGUAUACUAUGCAAUUUUCUAAUUGGUUAAAGUAAUUAUCCAUGAAAUGUUGGUAUCUCCCUGGUGCAUUUUUAUAUCCAAAAGGUAAUACAUUCCAUUCAUAGAAUCCUUGUGGUACUGUAAAAGAUGUUAACUUUUUAGAUUCUUCUUCCAAUUUUAGAUGGUAAAAUCCUGAUUUACAGUCAAACUUGCUGAAGUAAUUGUAUCCUUGGAUUUGUCUUAUUUUUUAUACUUUGUUUGGUAUUGGGUAAUUAUAUGUUUGUGUUUUUGCAUUUAGAUUUCUAUAGUCAAUAAUCAUCCGGCUUUUCCCUCUUUUUUGUUCACUAUUUUGUUUACUAUAAAUGCUGGACUUGUAUGUUUACUAUUACUUUCUUGUAUAUAAUUAUUUUCUAGUAAUUCUUUUAUAUGCAUUUUGAAUUUUGUUAAAUCAUCAAAAUUAUAUUUUAAUGGUUUCUGGGUUAUGAUGCUAUUUUCAUCAAUCAGUUCGUAUUUUUAUUUUUGUCUUAUGUUUUUCCCAUCCUUUUUAGGGGAUCUUCACUAUAUAACGGUUCUAGUUUUUCUUUGAAUUAUUUUUAGUUUAUCUAUAGAAAAUACAAUUAAUUCGAUAUUAUGGUUACUUUCGUUAAUAUUUUCUUAGCUUUUGGGUAAUCUUUUCUACUUCCUUUGAUCCAUGGUGUGGUUUUUCUAUUUUUGUUCUUUACCCUUUUUGCUCCUACCUUUUGUUUACAUGGUGUAGCAAACCACCAGUGUGUUUUUGUUAUCACAUGGGGAUAUAGUUUUUCUAAGAAUGGCAUUCCUAAAAGCAUAUCCUUAUUUAUGAAUUCGUAGCUAUAUAUGUCUUCUAUAGUUAAUAUUUUAUCCCAUAUUUGUAAUUUAUGUUCUUUGCUUUAUAUGUUAUCAUACUUCCUUCAUUAUUGAAUCCUGUUACUACUUUUGGUGUUUCUAGCUUUUCCCAUUUUUCUUCGGGGAGGCAAUUAUGUUUGCACAUAUUAGCUUCUGCUCCUGUAUCUAGCAUAGGGGUAUAAUAAUAUCUAUCAUCAUUUUCUAUUAUUAUUUUUGCAAGUAUGUAUAUUUUCAUAUUGUUCUUUUUAUUAUGACUUUCUUAUUUUUAUAUGUUGUGUUAUAUGGUUUCAUUUCUUCUAACCAUUUUAUUCCUAAUAUUAUGUUAUCUCCUUGAUAAAUUUUGAAUUUUAUCAGUAUUACUAUUCCUCCAAUAAUUAUUUAUUUUUCUGCUGUUUCAUCAAAAUUUAAUAAUUCUUUUGGUAAUUCUGGGCACGUUUGUUCUUUAGAGGUUAUUUCAUCUUCUGCUACUAAUUCCCUUGUUAUAUAAUUUUCCUCUUGACCGGUGUUUAUUAUUAUAAUAUACUUCCUUUGUUCUAUUAUUCCAGUUAUGUAAUAAUGGUAUGGUUCUAUAUCUUUUAUCAUUUGAUAUUCUAUUGAUUUUCUUCAAAGUUGAGGUGUUUCAUUACUGUGGUUUAUACCUUUCAUUCUUUUUUAUGUACUUAUUAUGUCACUUACUAUUUCUAAGUCUUCUUCUAUAUCUAUUUCUUUGUAAUUGUAAUCAUUAUUAUCUAUUACUAUAACAAUUUGUUCAAAAGGAUUUUCUAUCUUUAUUCUAUUUAUUUUAUUCUUUGCUGUUGUUUUGUGUUUUGUUGUUAAUACAUAUAGAUUUUUACAUCUUGUUGUAAAUAUCUUGCUUCCUGGAGCUAACUCUAUUCCUAACAUUUUUCAAUACAGUACUAGGGAUUUAUCUAUGUUUCUAUCAUUUACUGCUACUGAAUAAUUUGCGCUUAUUAUAAAUUUAAAUUUUUGAUAUAUUAGAUUUCCUUUUACUGCACUUAUUAUGCUUCUUUCUACAGGUUCUACUAUUAUGUCGUCUGCUAGGUAUAUUUCUAUUGCUGUAUCUAUUCCUUCUCUGAAACAUGCUUUUAUUAAUAUUUUUGUUCCUCCAAGGUGUACAUAUUUUAUUGGGUCUUUGGCUUUAAUUUCUUGUAUUUCCUUGUUUAUUAUUCUUUUAUUUAUUAUUGGUAUUUUCGCUUUUCCUUUGGUAUAUUUACAAUCUAUUAUGUGUUCUUUUUGGCUUACCACGUAAUAUUCUUCCUUUUGUCUUUUAAAUAAUUUUUUUAUUAUUGGUACUUUGAAUAGUUUUUCUACACUCAAGUCUAGUUCUUUUCCUUUUAUUUGUUCAAAUAUAUUAAUAUCAAAUAUUACUUUUUGUUCCGUAGAUUCUUCAGUUAUAUGCUCCUCUUGGGUUAUUAUCUGUACGUCUUUUUCAGUCAUCUAUAUACAAGUUAUCUUCUUCUUCGUUUAUUUCAUUCUCGGAUAAUUCAUAUAUACUAUCGUCACUUUCUGGCUCAUAAUCUAUAUAUUCUAUUUGUGUUUAUUCUUCAUUAUCGAUUAUUAUUUCAGAUAUUUAUUUUUUCUUAGGAUUUUUGGGUAAUUUACAAUAUUUAGCUAUAUGUCCUAGUUUCCCACAAUUAUAACAAGUGCAUUCAGUUAUUGUUUUCUUUGGUCUGAAUGGUCUUUUUGUAUUAUAUUUUUUAUGUAGUAUCUUCUUCGAGGUCUUUUGUACUUAUACUGGGAUUUAUAUUUUUUAUAUUUACCUUGUUUCCUAUAUUUCUUUUAUAGUAAUUAUCAUUACAUCCAAAUUGAGGUGCUACUUUAUCUUUGCAACAGGAUAAGUUUUUUAUUAUGGUUUUUCCAUUUUUAUUUCUUCUCUAUAUUUUUCACAUAUUUCUGAAUACCAUUUUUGUAAGUAUCUUAUUCUUGCUCCUAAAGUAUCUUGUAAUCCUGCUUCAUUCCAAUCUUUAUUAUUUUUGAACUAAAUGAUUCUGGUAGUUUUGUGAAGUAUAAUCUUCUUAUUUCUUUCCCUUCCUCUAUAUUAUAUGUUACUUUGUAAUAAUAUUCUCUAAAUACGCAUGUAUAUUCUUCUAUAUAACACAUGUUACAUAUUGCUAAUUUUAACAUUAAAUUCCUGUUUAACUGUUUCUCUUUAUUUUGUUCUUCUGUUUCUGUGGUUGUACUACUAAAUUCAUUUCUUAUAGCUAUUUCAUAUUUAUUUAAUAUAUCAAUUGGUGUUGUUGCUAUUUCACCAUCUAUUCUUUUAUUAUUUCUUAGUGUUUUUAUACUUUCUUCUGCUAGGUUUUGUAACCAUAACUUUAUUGUUCCUAUAAGUGUUCUUUCUAUAUAUCCUGGUACUUUUGUCAUUCCUAUUUUAUUAUCUAUUAAUUGUUUUGAUAAAUAUCCUACCCAUAAUUGGAUUGUUUUAUUUAUAUCUGUUACGCAGUAUAGAUCUAAAAAAUUAUUAUUUCGAGUAGUUGUUGUGGUUGGUGUCCAUUUUUUAUUUAAUCUUUUAUUCCAUAUGCUAUCGUACCUAUCAUAUUGUUCAUAACUAACUGAAUAAUAAUUGAGAUUUAAUUCUUUUGGGUUUUUAACUCCAAUGUGCUUGCUUUUAUAUCCUUAAUAUCUCCGAUAUUUAUUUCUGUAGAUUUUAUAUCAUCUAUAUUUGCUAAUAUUUCUGUAUAUGUUUCGCUUAUGUCCAAACCUUGUUCUGAGUGGUCUUCAUUUUCUGAUUCAUUUAUAUCGUCAAUUUUUAUGUCUGGUCCUUCUUCAAUUUGUAAUUUUUCCUUAAAUUUUUCUAUUUCAUUUUUUAACUUUGUUUCAAUUUCUUUUUCUUUUUGUUUAGUUGCAUAUAGUUCUUUUAGUGUAGCCAAUUCUUUUUCUAGAGCAAUUAUCAUAUCAUUUUUUGUUUCUUCUAUUUGUUGUAUUUCUAGUUUUGCUUGUUGUUUGAUAAUAUCUAUUUCUUUUUUCCUGUCUAUUUCUUCAUUUUCUCUAGUUAUUCGUACCAUGGCUGUUAGACUAUCUUCUAAUCUUACUGUUUCUUUUUCUAUCAUUAAAUAUAAAUUUUCACCUAUUUUUUUAUAUCUCCUUCCUAAGCUUGAAAAUAGUAUUUUUAUUUUUAAUCCAUCUUGGUUUUCAUAUGUUUUUUCAUCUAUAGCAAAUUCUUCUUUAUUCAUUAUAAAUUGUGCUUUAUUUUAUAUUCUAUCUGUUGUAUUUGUAGUUGUAAUUCAAAUUGUUUUUCUUUGAGCUAAUAGGGAUUUUUGGCAUACUCCUGCGUACUUGUUAUAUUUAAGUCUUUCUUGUCUAUGUUUUAACUUUUGGCGUUUCUCUAUAAUUGUUCUGAUUAAUUCAUAGUUAUGUUGUUCUUUACUUUCCAUAUUAUCCAUAGCAUUCUUUACUAUCCAUAGCUCUGAUACCAAUUUACCAAUUUUGUGGAGUGCGCUUUUCAGGUGAUAAUAAUUAUAUUCAAUAUAUAAAUGUUUAUUAGCUUUUGAACCAUACAUCGUAUAUAACAAAUUUAUUGUUACAAAAAAAUAAUCUAUUCAUUUUCAUUUUUGGGAUUUUUACUGAAAUGGGUUUCUUAGAUCUGAGUCUUGUUUGAGUUUCUAAGGUUAGAUUAGUGUUCUCCAACUAUAUUUGAGUCUUAGGCUGAUAUUGGAAGGAGUUUGGAGCGUUAUUGAAGAAUCCACCAUUGAAGACUUGAAGAAGCUUGAAGAAGACAAAGUGGAUUUUGAAAUCAAAAGAUUUUGGUUUGGAAUUGAAGUUUAAAGAGUAUUGGGUGUUGUUCCCCACAUCAAGGAGAGCCUUCACCUAAUUUUCGUGAAAUUCCAAGACAAAAAUUUUACGGGUUUAAUUUUGGGUUCAUCUUGUUCUUGAAGAACAUUCAUAUCUUCAAGAAAGGAAAUAUUUGAAAAGUCAAGUGUUUGAUUCAAAAAGGGAAGAAAGAGAAAGAGUAAAAGUGUUAUUAAAGAGGGAAUUUACCUAAAGGGGUAAAUACUAAAAGACAAGUCUAAGUGGGACCACACAAGUUCCAAUUCAGAACAUUGCGGGAGCUGCAUAGGUCUAUUGGGCGAGCAAAGGGGGGCAUCGCCUAACCAGUCAGCGCCUCACCCUUUGGGUAGGUUGCUCGCCGAAUUGGCUACCCAUUUGAGGGAGCUGUUGGAACUUUCGGCAAGACCAAGCCUUGGUCGCCAAGUUCAAUCGGCAAGUCACCGAACUUCCUUCUACCUCGCCAAGUUACCUUGGAAGAUUGUUGAAUUUGGCGAGUCCUUUUUCAAGUUGGCGAGCUGAACUUCACUUUUGGCGAAGAAAACAGGUCAUUCGGCGAUCUGAAAUUCGAGUUACUCCUAAUCUCAGGUUCUAAAUUCUUAGUUUCUUUCUUUUGUUUCUCAAACCUUCUCAAGAAUCCUAAACCGAUUUUCAACUCGUAAAUACUCUACUUGUUGACUAUUGGUUCUUGGAUUCACUUCUUUGUUUGUGCCUUUUCUUUUCGUGCUUUUCUCGAUUUACUUCAUAGUUAAUUCUUCAUUCAAGUCUGUUUGUUUAUCGAGUCAUCCGUUCUUCUUCGAACAAGAAUCCAUUCUGACCUAGAGUUGAAAUUGGUACCUUGUGAUCGACGGAGUAUAAUUAAUUGUCAACAUUAGCCGCGCUGAUUGAGAGGCAAUCAAAGAUGUGUAAGCACGAGCGAUUGUGAGUGCAUUUUAUUAAUGCUAACGUUGUUUGCUGUUUUGUGAGUUGUCUUAAUGUCAGGUACAAUGGAGACAGGAGGAGACACUCAAGCACCCAUCAGAGAAAAAACGUUGGCAACCUUGUUGGAAGUAUUGAACUAUGUGAGGGGUGAUCUAUCAAGUAUGAAUGGGAGGCUAACCACUGUGGAAGGUAGAGUCAAUUCAAAUGACUCCACACCACAAGCUAAUUUUCAUGCUACUACGAGUGGGCAAGAUCACACUCGUUUUCCUACUCUCACACCUGAAACCCUCCACAAAGCCUUGUACCCAACAUUUGUGAAAUUGAGUUCAAAUAGCCAAAGUACCCAUCGACCAUUCCAUUUUCCGCUUAGUUAAGAAGCUCCCUCAAAUCAAAGCCAUUGUUACAAAACCCCACCUAACCAUAAUAUUCCCUACCAAAGACCAUAACCACAACCAAAUCUAGUGAAUGAGGUGAGGAAUGAUGACGAUCAAGGAGGUUAUGAGGGUGAAGUUGAAGAAACACCAUGGAAUGAGUCACCAAGGAAUCGACCAAGAGGUUAGUUGUUGCAAGGUGGACCAAGAGGUAGAUUGGGUCCAAUGUCAUUUGAUAGGAGACGACAUGGGAACCACUCUCCAGGUGGAGACCAAUGGGAGGUCAAUACCAAUCAUGAAGUUAGUCAAGAAGCUAGGGAAGAACAUGGUAACCGCUAUCAAGGAGGGCAUCAAAGGGGUUAUCACUACAACGACCAAGGUGUCCAUGGAGGCUGAGAUGUUGGCAUCAACUCUAUCAAAAUGACUCUUCCGACAUUCAAAGGAUAAUGCAAUCCCGAUGCUUACUUAGAAUGGGAGUCGCAAUGUGACCGGAUUUUCAAUGUGAAUGAAUUGGCGAAGGUCAAAAGUAGUUGCUAUGCUAUAGCAUAAUUCGAGGGGUAUGCUGUCACAUGGUGGGAGUAGAUGAAGAGGUAUCACUUAGUUGUUCAAGAAGGUGAUCCUCCACCAUGGCCCGAGUUGAAAGGUUGAUGAGAGCUAAGUAUGUGCCGGAAAGAUACCGCCAAGGAUUACUUGCCAAAUUGUAUUACUCGAGGCAAGGAAGCAAAAGUGUUGAAGCCUAUCAUGAUGAGUUCCAAAACAUAAUCAUAAAGUUGGAAUAUAGAGAAAUUGAAGAGCACAUCGUGAUUCGCUUCAAGGUAGGGUUGAACAAAAAGAUUUUUUCUAAGAUGACCCUUCAUAGGUUUGCUACUUUGAAUGAUGCCUUUUAAGCCGCCCAUGAGAUAGAGUUAGAAUUCAAGGAGGAGAAGGUGGCUAAGUACAAUACUUCAUCUUCCAAAUCUUGGAGCAAAAGCAAAGGGGGAUCUCAAACAUCGUCGGGUUGGAACAAGGGUUCGGAUGUUAAGAAGCCUUAUGACAAGAACCCCUUCGAAGGAAACACUCCAAAGUACCCGCCUAGAGACAAAGGUAUCACUGACCCAACCAAGUUCCCUAAAGGUAUUCAAUGUCACAAAUAUAGGGGAUGGGGUCAUAUAAUGCAUGAGUGUCCCAAUCGACUGAUUGAUGUACUUAAAGGAGGAGAAAUAUAUCUUAAGUUCUUCAUCCUAUGUCCCCCUCUCAAGUCAAUGAUAUAUAUUAAAGAAUGAAUGAGUUGAGGGAAAAGAAGAAGUUUGAAGAGGAACAUGUGCAGGCCGAGAGCCAAGAAGAGGAGGAUAUGAGGAAGUUGAAAUGUAAGGCUUAAGUGUUGUUGGCUAAUUACAAAGAGAUAAGGGAGGAAAUUGAGUUAGAAAGUUCAUUGAUCAUUAUCACACAUAGGGAUCAUGUACUACAAACUAACCAAUCUCAUUCUUCCUUUCCCAAUUCUAUUUCGUUUCUUUUGUAGGAUUAUGAGGAUGUCUUCCCAAAAGAGCUUCCAAGUGGAUUGUCGCCUCUUCGGGGAAUUGAGCACCAAAUUGAUUUUGUGUCGGGAUCGCAAUUACGAAACAAGCCAGCUAAUAGAAGCAAUUUGGAGGACACGAAGGAGCUACAAAAACAAGUUGAGGAACUCCUCGACAAAGGUUAUCUGAAGGAGAGCAUGAUUCCAUGUGUCGUGCCAGUUCUAUUAGUUCUAAAGAAAGAUGGAACAUGGCGCAUGUGUGUUGAUUGUCGAGCCAUCAACAAAAUUACGGUAAAGUAUCAUCAUUCUAUCCCUAGGAUAGAUGAUAUGCUUGAUGAAUUGAAUGGCCCUUGUGUGUUUUCAAAUAUUGAUCUUAGGAGUGGUUAUCAUCAAAUUCGGAUGAACCCCGAUGAUGAAAAGAGAACCGCAUUCAAGACCAAGUUUGGUCUAUAUGAAUUCUUGGUGAUGCCCUUUGGUCUCAGUAAUGCUCCUAGUACCUUUAUACGUCUCAUGAAUCAUGUGAUGAAACCCUUUAAAGAGAAAUUUGUGGUUGUCUAUUUUGAUGAUAUCUUGAUUUAUAAAAGGACCAUGCAUGAUCAUGUUGAGCAUUUAAGUUGUGUGUUUGAUGUGCUUAGGAAGGAAAAACUUUAUGCUAAUCUUGGUAAGUGUUCAUUUUAUGUUGAUGAAGUUGUCUUCUUGGGUUUUGUUAUGAGUUCAAAAGGGGUUGAAGUUGAUGAGUCUAAAAAUUGAUGCUAUUAAGAAUUGGCCAAUUUCGAAAUCCAUAAGUGAUGUUCAAAACUUUCAUGGGUUGGCAAGUUUUUAUAGGCGAUUUGUCAAAGGUUUUAGUACCAUUGCAGCCCCCUUGAUUGAGAGUCCCAAUAUCCUCAUCUAUUUCUUCUAUUCCUAUUCUACCUUGAGACCAAGAGUUCCUUGUUGGAUUUGUUCUAUAUCUAGGGGUCAUAAGUGUUUUAGAAAUUUCCAUGGUCUCCUUAUGUUUUGCUUGUUUUUUUAAAGAUUCUUACUUUGUAUAAAAUCGAUUUUUAAUGAUUUACAUAUUCCUCAUGUUAUUGUGCAUUCUAGGAUGGUGAUGACAUAUUUGACUUCAUGAGAUGAUGUGAUGAACAUGCUUUGUUGUGUUUUGAUGAAAUACACAUUGGCUCCAUAUUGUUGUGUUGAGCUUGCUUUUAAGGAGAAAAUGUAGUUCCUCCUAUGAUUAUGUAGUUGAUGAUGUUUAGGAGUGUUGGUAUAGGCUCACUCAUAAGGGGGAGAUGGUAUGCCUAACUAAUAUUGAUGUUAUGUGCUUAUAUGUUGCCAUGACUUCCUUAUACGAUGCAUGUUCAUGAAAACUUGUGUUUUCGAAAGAAAAUGAUUCUUAUAUGAAGUGUUUCCCUCAUGUUGUGGUGCUUUGAGUAAAAGUUGCCUAUUUGAACUUCAUGAGAAGAAUACAUGGACAUGUUUUAGUAGGAAAAGGUAGUUCCUCCUCAAACAUGACAAGUGAUGAGAAUAUCAUGCAUAAAUAGGUUGUGUAGAUAUAGCUCAUACUUUCUUGUAUUGUAUUGAAAAUGUUGAAUUGGAGUUGAUGUUGCUCCUUGAAUAAGUGCCCAUUGUGAAUAGUGUAUUUUGAGUUGUGCAUUAUUGUGAUGUUUCAUGCAUGUUUGGGGCUGCUAGUCUUGAGUCUUUGAUUCCAUAAUGUGUUUGAAGUGUCAUUCGAGGACGAAUGCUCCUAAGGGAGAGAUAAUGUAACACCCCGUCAAAACCAGUAAGACCUAGCUAAUGCUUGACGGAAUCUAGUAGGUGAAACUAGAGCCUCACAUGUCAGUUUGAAGUUGGAAAGUUGAUUAAAUGUUGUUAAAUGGUUCCUGAGAGAAGGUCGAGGAAUUUAGGGGUUAAACGUCAAGAUACAACUAUAACGCCCGGAAACUAGUAAGUUGAACUAGUGUGUGGUAGUGUCUUGUAGUGGAAGUUUUGGAGUGUCGUAUGAGGGUUAAAACCCAUAAAAUGAUCCCCAUACUUAAAAUGACACGCUUAGGGGUUAAACGUCCGGAUACGACUCCCCAAGGGGUCCUUGAAGAGGAACCCAACACAGCCCAGAAGCUGUCAAAAACAGUUGGGUUCACAGAGGCAGAUCACGCCCCUUAGACCAGUCCAUGCCCCAUAGGUCAUGGGCGUGGGUUAGGACUUAGUAUAGGAAGGCUUGGCCUUCAAGUUUGAGCCCCAGCCCCAAACCACGGAGCCACAGGAUGGUCAGUACAUCUAUCCACGGUCCAAGGAUGGGUGGGCAUGAAUGGGAGCAGUUUUCCAGAUUUUUGUUUUAAGUUAGAGGUCUUAGUUUUAGUUAGUUAUUUAAUUAAGGGUUAGGAGGGACGAUUAGAUAACUAAUUAACUUCCUAAAUAAACUAUUUUCAGUCAUUAAAACAUUUCAUUAACUCAUUAUAACCCUAGACCCCAAAUCAAAACCCAACUACCUUUCCCUCCCAAAAUCAUCUCUCUAGACUCCAUUGAAGAAAAAAGGAAGGAAUCAAGCUAGAGCUUCAAGAAGAGGGAUUUUUCAUAUGAAUUUGAUGGGAAUAUAAACCUAAGGUAUGGGAGUUGUUCAUUAUUGGUUAGCUAUUGUCACGCCCCAAACUAGAGAAGGUGUGACUAUCACUCGACACCUUAAGCAAUUGAGUUAGCCACAUAAACAUACCAACUGACUCAAUUGAGGGCUUAGAAGGUCAGGCAACAUAACAUCUAAAUUACUAUUAUUGGACCCUUAAGGUCAUAACCUGAAUAUCGAUAAGUCAUAUAGACGAAGGUAGAAAAGCCAAAGAUAAUAAGGUACUAGCUAGCUGACAAGGCUACAAUGAAGAUACACACAUACAUACAUAUCUAUACAUGCCAAUCCUAUGUGGCUGGAAACUGGAAGUUGCAGAAAGAAACCCAUAAUAUUGUGUCCACAAUAGCCUCUAUGAGUGUCAUAAGCACUGGUCGGGACAAGGUCCCGAUUAUACCCAAACUUUACAAUAAAUGUAACAUCCUAUGAAAGCUCCAGGAAGAAGUGGAGCUUACCAACUCAGAGCUAAAUCCAGAAUCUUAGCAGAGGGGUCAAUCAGAAUCCCUACCUGGACCUGCACGCACGAAACAAAAAUGCGUCGCAGGCAACGGUACGUCAGUACGAAUAAAAAUGUAAUGGUAUGUAAGGUAGAAAAUAGAAUAAUAAAUAGUUACUGUAAAAAGGGGAAUAAAGAUACCACCUGAAAUAGAAACUAUGGUAACCGCCAUGGCUGACAUCAAACCUUAUAUAAAUUAAAUAUACAUGGUAUGCUCGCAUAAUCGUAUGUCAUGUAUAUAUAUAUAUAUAUAUAGAGAGAGAGAGAGAGAGAUGAAAAUGCAUGUCAUACCCAACUAAGUGCUAGCAAUGGUAGUGCCUUCCGGUAGCGAACCGGGAGCAUAUUCGCCAACUUGUGGACAUAUGUGUCUCAUACGUAUAAAUAUAGGCAAUAGGCCCCAUACCUUUGAAUUAUAGCUCGGAAGUAGAAUGUGUAGCAUGUAAUGUCAUGGAUCUGCAAUGCAUUUGUUACCUGAAUCAUGUUUGCAAUCUCGGAUCAGUGGUACUCUUGUCCUUGUAAUCUCGUAAUCACUUUCGUAUCACAUGUAAACAUCACGUGAAACUUAUAUACUUGUAGAUUAAACUGGAACACUUAACUUGGAUUUAAGAAAGGAAACUUAAACUUGAGGAUGUUCAUAAAGAGAUUAAAGUUCAUCACUUAGUAUCUAUAUAUGUUUCCAUAGUGGUUUUAAAAGAAAGUAUUUUAGAAAAAACCCGUACUUUAGUAGUUUAAACCUAUGAUUUAUAUUUAAGAGUUUUGGAGAUCGACGUUUUAUUUUAAAGUUUUCAAAAAUAUAAAUUAGCGAGGAUAGAGGACUGAUUUCAAAAUCAUAUUGUUCAUCUCUAAUCUUUUUAAGUUACUACACCUAAAGAAGAAUAAUAAUUUGUACACAUGGACCUAUAGUCAAGAGAAUCAACAAAAUGACAUAAAGACGUUGAAUACCCUAUCUAACCGAAUGAGUGGAAUAUCUACAUUAUGGAGUAAAAAAAUACGCCAACUGCAAUCUCAAUACAUUUCACAAAAGGUCUUUCUAGCAAUAGAGUAGUAAAACAGUAUUUGACAAUUUAGGAUUCCAAAUUUCGUGCUCAAAGGAAGUAUAGUGCUUAGCCUUAACAUACCUCAAUUUUGGGUCUUGUUGUAUCAAUACGGAUUGUACCCUCUUCCUUACAGUAUGUAGUCUACAGAAAAUCAUGUCACACAAACAUUACAGGCAGAAUAUUAACACGUCAGGGUCAAAGUAGAAAUUUAGAGCUCACUAGCAGAGUGAUUAGCUCGCCAGACCAUUUUUAAAGUUAUGCUUCAUUACCUUCUCUUCUCCAAAUUACAACCUCAAAUUAAUGGCAUAGCAUACAUUUUUGCAGCAGCUAUUAACAAGUGGAGGCCUACGCAAUAGUCAACAACAACCAAAUAGAGUAUGCCUGCACAACAAUUAAAACUCGGCGUAUCGCCACACCCGUCUUUUCCAACCCAAAAUAACCAUAACCAAAUCCUAGCGACGAAUCUUCAAACCAUUAAAGCCAUAAAAAAAUGUAUAAUAUAGUCCUAUAAUUGUUCAAUAUAACCAUAAUAACUUGAACUCGCCGCUUCCAAUCAUCAUCCUAUACGUUCGUCCAAUAAUUACAUUUCGAGUCAUGUCUUUCUCUUCAUAUGCAAUAAGAGCUUAAAAGGACAAAACCUAAACUUAAACUUGAUGGAGCUUGCAGUAUAUCAACAUUUCUUGUCAAUAAAAAACAGUCUCCUUAACCGCAAGACAUUGAACCAAGAAGAGACAAUUUGAAAAUUGCAAUGCAAUAAUAGAACCAACGUUACACUAAUUUAUGUUACAAUUAAAUAUCCAUCUAUACUUCUUCUUCUCUUCCAGACUCAUAUCAACAAGAACCACACACAUACAAAGCAUUUCCAAAAAUAUUCCAGAAACAACAAUAUCAGAAAAUACUUCAAAACAGCCCAACAUCACUUAACUAUCCAAAUACGAUUUUUCCAGCCGUCUAUUCAUGGUUUUGCUUAUAUAGCAUAACUAUAACUUGGACUCACUCAAUAAAAUGAAGGGUGAGAAUUAUUACCUCCAAACAAAAGCUACACCACAUAAAAAACGAGACUCCUUCAGCAUGAAGAAUCCUUCAAAUCACAACCAACGAGGAGGAAAGAAAUAACACAAUCUCUAUGAAUGUUCCGAGGGUUAAACCACGUUGAAAUCUUGUAAAUAUUUUCUUGGAUGGUAGGGGAACCUUUAGAGAGUAUUUAGGACUGUUUUAUUCUUAUUUUGGUCGAAAAUAAUGAGAUAAAAUGAAGGGAAAUCUGAUUUUAUAAAGCUAAACCAACAUAUGGGCUAGGGGGCCACCUUCACGUGCCUGCUUGUGCAGUCUCACUAAAAUCUGAAUAUCUCUCAAUUAUGAAGCCGUAUGGACAAAUAAUUUAGUGCGUUGGAAAGUAGACUGAUAGACCUUCGAUUUCAUAUAUUGGGGUUCUUCUAAAGCUUUAUAGAUUGGGAGAAAAGCUCCAAGACAUUUAACCCAAUUUUCAGAAAAUUUAUCAAAGAAACUUACUCUAACUUUAGCCAACUUUUUAUUUCUCAACUUGCUUGACUUCAAAACUUAACUGACAAUCAUUGAGCGACUAUAUCGCCUUAUAAAACAUCCUUUUUAGCAUAUAAGACACUCUUUGUCUUAUCCCCAAAGGCACCGAGUAAUUUAACCGUUCUGAACGGGCUGGGUGUUAGAAUAGACAUUCUUUAACUUGAACUUGUUUAAGGGCAUCCUUGAACCAUAACGUUAAUCUAACUCUUUAAUUUUUUUUUUACCUCCCCUUUUCAACCUUAUUCUCCUGAAAUGAUACACCAAGUCAUAUAAACCUCAUACACUCAUUCAAUGAUACAAAUAUUAUGCGAAAGAACCACGGGGUCUCACAUUCUCCCCUCCUUAAGAGCAUUCGUCAUCGAAUGGAUUCGAACAAUCUCUUAGUUGUAUUCUUUGCUGCUACUAUGCUAUUUGCAAGGCUAUAUUUGUUACGUUCGCAAAUCUUAAAUCCGGUUCGAAAAUCUAAUUACAAGGCUUCGUAUAUCUAGCCUGCGACAAUCCAUAUAAACUGCAUUUUUGAGGUAUUUAAAAUCCAAUUAAGUUUGUGUACUGGAAUAAUUGUCAAUUAUUGAAAAACAACUCAGCUUAAGUCAUCAAUAGUUGGAGGUAAUUCUUCCCUAUUUCCUCUUCGGCUUCUCAAGUUAUUUCCUCAACGUUGUUAUUCCACCAUAACACUUUCAUAGUAACCACUUCUUCAGUCCAAAUCUUUCUUACCUGCCAAACCAAAAUAGCCACUAACACCUUAGCAUAAAACAAGUCUGUAGAGACAAGAAUAUCCUCAACGGACAUAAUUCAAAGCAUUUUCGAUGCAGUUCUAUAAACAAGAUACAUGGAACACCAGAUGAACUACUUUAAAUUCUGAAGGGAAAUCAAUCUCGUAAGUCAGCCUACCAAUCCUUCGAAUAAUAUUAUAUGGCCCUACAUUCCUUGGACUCAGCUUUCCUUUCUUGACUAAUCGCAUGAAACCCUUCAUAGGCCAUACUUUGAAGAAAAACCAAUAUUCUACAUCAAAAUCUAUGUCUCGUAGUAAAACAUCUGCAUAAGACUUCUGACUACUCUAUGAUAUCAACAACCGAUCUCUACUAAGCUUUACCUUCUCCAUAAAUUGUUAGAUUAGAUCAUGACCUAAAAAUUCUACUUCCCUGAUCUUGAACCAAUAUAUUGGUGAACUGCACUUCUUCCAUAAAGUGCUUCAUAAGGACAUAUUUGAAUACUUGCUUGGAAUUUGUUAUUAUAAGAAAACUCACACAAUAACACGUGAUCACACCAGUUUUCACAAAAAUCUAGCACACAUACCUAUAACAUGUACUUGAGCAUUUAGAUUAUACAUUCGGCUUGGCCAUCAAUUUUAAGAUGAAAAUCCGUACUAAGAUUAACUUGAGUCCCCAAACCUUCAACAAGGUUCUCUGUGUUGUGCUAUAAAAUGUGUCCAUCUAUUUGAAGUAAUCUAUACUGAGACAUAAUUGAGUUUAAAUAACUCUCUAAUGUACAUCCCAACAUAUUCCACCAGAAGGUAGUCCUGACUAGAUAGAAAUGGGUUGAUUUCGUCAACCUGUGAACAAUCACCCAAAUGGAAUUUGAUCUUCCCUCGCGAAUGUGGAAAACAUGUGACAUAAUUCAUAUUUAUCUCCUUCCACUUCCACAAUGGAAUAACUAUCUCCUGUGUUAGCAAAAUAAUCUUCUGAUGCUCUACCUCUCCCUAUUGACAACAUAUCUCAUUAAUACCAUGACACAUUUUCAUGGUUCCUAUGUGAACAGAGAAGCAAGAAUAGUUCGCAUGUACCAUAUUUUUCAAUAGAAGCCAUAUGGCAUUCAGAACAUAUAAUUGAUCUCUGAAUCUGAAGACUGCCUCUCCUGCUCUAUCAAAGGUGAUUUUUAUUUUUUUAUUUUUCCUGCUAAGCCUUGCCUCUGAGCUGAUCUAAGCUAGGAUCUUCACAUUGUCAAGCCUUCACCUCCAUAAAUAGAGAUGAUAUUACCCAGUCCUGAACUUUGACUCUAAUGUCAUUGGAGUUUUAUAAUAUAACCCCAAACCAACUAGUUGAUGGAGCUCUUAGGCCAUCUCCUGGUUCUCAACUCCCGAAGGUGAUAAACUACCCAUAGAAUUACGACUGAGGGCAUCCACUACUAUAUUUUACUUUCCUUGGAUGAUAUAAGAUAUCCACAUCAAUAACUUUCAGCUAUUCAUUCCAUCUACACUAUUGUAGAAUUUCCUUUUUCAGUCUAAAAAUAUACUGGGCUCUUAGGAUCUGUAUAAAUAUCAACAUUAAAGACAUUCAAGUAAUGCCUCAAAAUCCUCAAGGAAUGAAUAAUUGCAGUUAACUCUAAAUCGUAGGUCGAGUAGUUCUUUUCAUUAUUCAUUAACUAUCAUGAAGCAUAAGCAAUUACCUUUCUUUAAUGUUUCAGAACAUAAACCAGCCUAAUUCUUGAAGCAUAAUAAUGCAUUACAUUGUCUUCUUGCUCGUCUUGUAGGGUCGGAACUGGUGUUGAAGUCAUUUGAUAUCUCAGCUCUUGGAAUCUCCCCUCGUAGGCUAUUGUCCACUGAAACUUAACUUCUUUUUAAGGCAACUUUGUUAGGGGUGCUAAAAGUGGAGAAAAAAAAAUCCUUCCACAAGACUUAUAUAAUACUCCACUAACCCUCAGAAAGAUUCGAACUUCGACCAGGUUCAUAAGUCUAGGCCAAGUCUUCACGACCUCAGUCUUCUGUUAGUAUACCUGAGUACCAGCAUCUAAUACAAUAUGGCCCCGGCAAAAAAAAACCAUUAAAUACAACCAGAACUCAUACUUUGAGAAUUUAGCUUACAACCUCUAACCUUGGGGUAAUUGAAGCACUACUUAGUGAUGAUCUCUCUGAUUUGCCUCUGAAUGAAAUGUACCAAAAUAUCAUUAACUAAUACAAUUACGAACAAGUUUAGAAUGACAUGGAUAUACUAUUCAUCAGGUUCAUAAAUAUUGUUGGUUCAUUCGCCAAUCUGAAAGGCAUUACAAGAAACUCAAAAUGGCCAUAUCUAAUCCUCAAAGUUGUCUUUGAAACAAUACUCUCUCGAACAAGUACCUAGUGGUACCAUAAAUGUAAAUCAAUCUUUGGGAAGCAUCCGACAUCAUAUAGUUGGUCGAAAAAACCCUUCAAUCCGUUGUAGUGGAUAUUUGUUCUUUAUAGUCACCUUAUUCAGUUUUUUUAUAGUCUAUACACUUCUACCAUGAUUCAUUUUUCUUCCGAACAAAUAACAUUGGUGCACGUCUUAGUGAUGCGCUAGUCCUAUUAAAGCCCUUAUCUAAUAUAUCCUUCAAUUUUACUGGUGCAAUUCUAAUUGGGGAAAUUGACAUCGGCAGAGUAUCUAGUAAUGUAUCAGUAGAAAAAUUUGUCGCUUCUUCCGGGGAAAUAGCAAGAAGCUCACCUGGAAAUACACCUAGAAACACAUUGCCCACUAUAAUAACUGAAGAGUCGAGGUCUCAACAUCAAUAUCUUAAACUCGCUCGGAAAAUAUGAUAAGUACAGCCAUUGGCAAACAUUUCCUUGCCUAAAGAUUGCAAAUAAACUUGCCUCUUUGCAUUGCACCAUUAGCCUUCCAUUUUCAUACUACUUCCCCUGGGAACUAAAAUCUAACAGUCUUCUCUUGGUUGUCCACAUCAACAUAAUAAGGUUUCCACCAAUCCAUGCCCAUAUCAAUAAAAAGUCGAGCAUCUCUAGCCCUAUCACGUCUAAAAAAAUUGAUAACAAACUAUAUCUCCAGUAGAACCUCGAUAAAUCCUCUUGAGCGUAUGUGAAACACAAAGCACGAUUCAGAUUUCACGAUUCAGAUUUCAUACGUACUUAUAAGUUCACCCACCAAACCAUAACAAGGAACUCUUUCAAAAACAACAUAGUUCUACUCACGGACCAAUCAUGAAGCACACUAUCUCCCCCUUGGAAGAAAACCCCACUAGUCUUUUCAAAUCCAUCUCCCUCAAUCUAACCAUAACACCAACGUUUUAACAACCACUAAACCAUUGAUACAAGUAAACACUUAAGAAGUUUCCACAAAGAUUUUAACGACUACUCCAAACACAAUCACCAUACAUGGAGUCUUAUGUCACGCCCCAAACUAGAGAAGGCGUGACUAGCACUCGACACCUUAAGCAAUCGAGUUAGCCACAUAAGCAUACCAACUGACUCAACUAAGGACUUAAAAGGUCAGGCAGCAUACCAUCUAGAAUACUAUGAAUGGACCCUUAUGGUCAUAACCUGAAUAUCGAUAAGUCAUAUAGACGAAGGUAGACAAGCCAAAGAUAAUAAGGUACUAGCUAGCCGACAAGGCUACAAUGAAGAUAUACACACAUACAUACAUAUCUAUACAUGCCAAGCCUAUGUGGCUGGAAACUCGAAGCUGCAGAAAGAAACCCAUAAUACUGUGUCCACAAUAGCCUCUAUGAGUGACAUAAGAACUGGUUCGGACAAGGCCCCGAUUAUACCCAAACUGUACAAUAAAAGUAACAUCCUAUUAAAGCUCCAGGAAGAAGUAGAGCUUACCAACUCACAGCUGAACCCCGAAUGCUAACAGACGGGUAAUUCAUAAUCCCUACUUGGACCUACACGCACGAAACAUAAAUGCGUCACAGGCAACGGGACGUCAGUUCGAAUAAAAAUGUACUGCUAUGUAAGGAAGAAAAUAGAAUAAUAAAUAGUUGCUGUAUAAAGGGGAAUAAAGAUACCACCUGAAACAGAAACUCUGGUAGCCGCCAUGGCUGACAUCAAACCUUAUAUAAAUUAAAUUUUCAUGGUCUGCUCGCAUAAUCGUAUGUUGUGAAUAUAUAUAUAUAUAGAUGCAAAUGCAUGUCAUACCGAACUAAGUGCUAGCAAUGUUGGUGCAUUCCGGUAGAGAACCGGGAUCAUAUUCGCCAACUUGUGGCCAUCUGUGUCUCAUAAGUAUAAAUAUAGGCAAUAGGCCCCAUACCUUCCGAUUAUAGCUCGGAAGUAGAAUGCGUACCAUGUAAUGUCAUGGAUCCGUAAUGCAUUUGUUAGGUGAAUCAUGUUGCCAAUCUUGGCUUAUCGAUAAUCUUGUCCUCAUAAUCUCGUAAUCACUUUCGUAUCACAUGUAAAUAUCUCGUGAAACUUAUAUACUUGUAGAUUAAACUGGAACACUUAACUUGGAUUGAGAAAGGCAACUUAAACUUGAUGAUGUUCAUAAAGAGCUUAAAGGUCUUCACUUAGUAUCUAUAUAUGUUUCCUUAGUGGUUUGUAAAAGAAAGUAUUUCAGAAAAACCCGUACUUUAGUAGUUUAAACAUACGAUUUAUAUUUAAGAGUUUUUGGAGAUCGACAUUUUAUUUUAAAGUUUUCAAAAAUAUAAAUUAGCGAGGAAAGAGGACUGAUUUCAAAUUCAUAUUGUCAUCUCUAAUCUUUUUAAGUUACUACACCUAAAGAAAAAACAAGAAUUUGUACGCAUGGACCUAUAGUCAAGAGAAUCAACAAAAUGACAUAAAGACGUUGAAUACCCUAUCUAACCGAACGAGUGGAAUAUAAACAUAAUGGAGUAACAAAAAUAUACGAGCUCCAAUCUCAAUGCCUUUCACAAAAGGUCUUUCUAGCAAUAGUGUAGUAAAAUAAUAUUUGACGAUUUGGGAUUCCAAAAUUCGUGCUCAAAGGAAGUACAAUGCUUAGCCUUAACAUACCUCGAUUUUGGGUCUUGUUAUAUCAAUAUGGAUUGUACGCACUUCCUUACAAUAUGUAGUCUACAGAAAAUCAUGUCACACAACCAUUACAGGCAGAAUAUUAACACGUCAGGGUCAAAGUAGUAAUUUAGAGCUCACUAGCAGAGUGAUUAGCUCGCCAGAACAUGUUUAAAUGUAUGCUUCAAUACCUUCUCUUCUCCAAAUUACCACCUCAAAUUAAUGACAUAACAUACAUUUUUGCAUCAGCUAUUAACAAGUGGAGGCCUACGCAAUAGUCAACAACAACCAAAUAGAGUAUGCAUGCACACCAAUUAAAACUCGGCGUAUCGCCAAACACCUCUUGUCCAACCAAAAAUAACCAUAACAAAAUCCUAACCACGAGUCUUCAAACCAUUAAAGCCAUAAAAAAAUAUGUAUAAUACAGUCCUAUAAUUGUUCAACAUAACCGUAAUAACUUGAACUCGCCGCCUCCAAUCAUCAUCCUAUACGUUCGUCCAAUAAUUACAUUUCGAGUCAUGUAUUUCUCUUCAUAUGCAAUAAGAGCUUAAAAGGACAAAACCUAAACUAAAACUUGAUGGAGCUUGCAGUACAUUAACAUGUCUUGUCAAUAAAAAACAGUCUCCUUAAACGCAAGACGUUGAACCAAGAAGAGGCAAUUAGAAUAUUGCAAUGCAAUAAUAGAACCAACGUUACACUAAUUUAUGUUAAAAUUAAAUAUCCAUCUAUACUUUUUAUUCUCUUCCAGACUCAUAUCAACAGGAACCACACACAUACAAAGCAUUUCCAAAAAUAUUCCACCAACAACAAUAUCAGAAAAUACUUCAAAACAGCCCAACAUCACUUAACUAUCCAAAUACGAUUUUUCCAGCCGUCUAUUCGUUUCCUUGCUUAUAUAGCAUAGCUAUAACUUGGACUCACUCAAUAAAAUGAAGGGUUAGAAUUAUUAUCUCCAAACAGAAGCAACACCACAUAAAAAACGAGACUCCUUCACCAUGAAGAAUCCUUCAAAUCACAACCAACGAGGAGGAAAGAAAUAACACAAUCUCUAUGAAUGUUCUGAGGGUUAAACCACGUUGAAAUCUUGUAAAUAUUUUCUUGAAUGGUAGGGGAACCUUUAGAGAGUAUUUAGGACUGUUUUAUUCUUAUUUUGGUCGAAAAUAAUGAGAUAAAACAAAGGGAAAUCUGAUCUUAUAAAGCUAAACCGACAUAUGGACUAGGGGCCCACCUUCACGUGCCUACUUGUGCAAUCUCACUAAAAUCUGAAUAUCUCUCAAUUCUAAAGUCGUAUGGACGAAUGAUUUAGUGCGUUGGAAAGUAGAAUCAUAGACCUUAAAUUUCAUAUAUUGGGGUUCUUCUAAACCUUUAUAGAUUGGGAGAAAGGCCCCGAGACAUUUAAACUAACUUUCAGAAAAAUUAUCAAAGAAACUUACUCUAACUUGUGCCAACUUUUUAUUUCUCAACUUGCUUGACUUCUAAACUUAACUUAUGAUCAUUGGGUGAGUAUAUCACCUUAUAAAACAUCCUUAUUAGCAUACAAGACACUCUUUGUCUUAUCCCUAAAGGUACCGGUGAACUUAAGCGUUCUGAACGGGCGGGGUGUUAGAAUAGACAUUCUUUAACUCGAACUUGUUUAAGGGCAUCCUUGACCCAUAACUUUAGUCUAAUUCUUUGAUUUUUUUUACUUCCUCUUUGCAACCUUAUUCUCAUGAAAUGAUAGACCAAGUCAUAUAAGCCUCAUACACUCAUUCAAUGAUACAAAUAUUAUGCGAAAGAACCACGGGGUCUCACAGUUAUUACCAAGAAGCCCCUUCAACUAUGUUUUCAAAUCCCCCAAUUCUAGGGUUUUCAAACCUAGACAUGGGUCUUCUUCCAAAACGAAUUCAAUUGUUUUAUUUAGGUUUAUCUUGAUUGAUUAUGAUGAUUUAUGAUUUGAUUAAUGGAGAAUUAAUGGAUUUUGAUGAAAAUCUCCUUUGGACCAAUUUUUAAAGUAGGGUUUGAUUUGAUUGAUCAUAUAAGGUUUGCAAUUAAUUAUGUUUAUGUUUAUUAUGUUGUUGAAUCAUGAUAUAUCUCUAUCUAGCAUGGUAAUUCUAAAAGUUAGGGUUGAUCUUGAUUCUUAGCCUUGAAAGGCAAUUUGCUAGGAUUGUAUGUGUUGUCAUAUAUUGUAUAUGAUCUUGUUUAUCCACUUGAAAGGUGGAGGUGUUUAAUUAUGAUGUAGUGUAAUUCUACAUGUAUUCUUGAUUAACCUAAGAUUAUAGGGUUAUGUCAUGAAAGAGGCAAAUUGAGGGUUUAAAUGUGAUCCUCUUAGAAUGAUGAGUUCUCAAUGUAAUGCCUUAGAUUAGAUCACCUAGACUUGAAUUGGUUUAGGAUAAUUCUUCUAAACAUGAAUUGACUUAAUCAUGAUAUUAUGUGCAUGUUGAUGAAUACUUGAAGUAUAAAGUGCCAAUCAUGAUGUGAUUAAUGUAUUGAUGAGUUGUUGGAUCAUGGUAUCUCCUUAUCUAAUGUGCUAUUGCUAUAUACUUGGGAUGAAUUGAUCCAUAAGCCGUUGAAGGGCAUAUUGUGAAGGUUUGUGCAUGUUGGCAAUAUUGUGUGUGAACUUAUGAUUUAUUUAGAAAAGUGUAGGUCCUAUGACUAUGGUGUAUAUCGUUGUAUUGUUGAAAGGCUAGUCUUCCGUUAUCCUUACACUUGAUAUUAUAUAAAUUAUCUAGGAUGAUGAUAAUGUUGUUGUUGUGUUAUUGCAAGGACAAUUACACACACACACUCCAUGCAUAAACAUGAUCAUGAUGUAUCUAUGGUGUUAAUUGAAAGUAUAGUUCUGAUAUGCACCUUUACACAUUAUUAUGCAUGAAAUGUACUUGAGCAUAUUGAUCCUAUUGUGUUGAUUGAAAGCCUAUUCUCAUGAGAAUACAUGAUCUUGGUGUGAUAGUUAUUCUCACAUACAAAUUAUAAUUCUAAAGUUGAAUGUACAUUCUCACCUUUAAUGAACCUAUGAGCUAUUUUGUGAAUUGUAUUGAACGAAGGGUAGAGCAAUCCUUCACGAAUGUAAAUACAAUUCAAAGACUUAUAAUGUCUAAUUUGGGAAAUAAUGCUUAGCACCGAGUGGAUAUUGACAAUGAGGUAAAGGCCCUCCUGCCAAUGCAAUAGUGAGGGUCAUCCAAAGUGAACUCAUGAGAUGGAAUCCCCUCUGGCAAUGCAAUAGGGUGGAUUUCUAGAAGCAAUCUCCCCAUCCCAUAAACUAUGUGCCCACAUAGGUACCUUUAGCUAGUGGAUCCACCUUAUCUCUAUACAUUUUGGUUCUACCUUAGGCAAGUAGGACACAUUUCACGGUGUAGGGUUAUAGACACCGGAUUCCAUGUAGCUCACCUGGUCAAUGUCGGUUAUGGCAACUUUUCCCUAUAUAAUAAAGAUAAUGAAUGAUACAUGAAUUAUACUAUGACUUCUUAAUGAGCUUUACUUAGUAGGAGUGUUGGUAUGGGACUUCACUCUUACAUUGAAUAAGUAUACUUAGUAGGAUGUCAUGGGAUGGUUCCUUUUCAUAUUGAUGAGAUUUCAAUGCAUGCACAUAUAUUGAAUGUAUAGUUGUUAUGAAUUACCUUCCUUAUAAUUUAAGUAAUGUAUAUGAAUAUUUCCUUAUUUGUGACUAUUGAUUAUAAUUAGGUGUAAAGAUGAAGUGCAUGAGUAAGGUAGCUUCAAAGGAGUACUUAGUAGGGUUAGUAUUAUGGGAUGCUAACCAUACAUUGCACAAGUGUUUCUAAGGGGUUACCAAGGUAAUUACUUUAUUAUAAAAUGAGUAUAAAUGUGAUAUUGUCUUGUGUUGUACAUUGUGAAUGCAUGUUAGUUACCAUUGCAUAUGUUUUUCUUAGGGGUUGAUCAUGUGAUGAUUACUUAAGCAUGAGAUGAUCUUGGUAUUUGACUUGCACUACCUUGUGAUUGGAGGCUAUGUAUUGUGAAGAUUGGGAUUUGUAUUGUAUUGAUGUUGGAGAUUAUGCUUGUUAUUAUAAUGAUAUCUCUCAUGCUAUAAUGAAAUAUAUGUGAGUUGUCUUAUUGAUUGUAUUCUCCAACUAUACCAAAGAUGAUGUUCAAAAAUGGCAUAUAGCAUGAUUUCAAAUGAAAUGUCCCUUUUCAUGAAUGUUUUAAUGGUUUUGUGCAUGGCUUCCUUACUUAGUACUUUUUGUGCUAACCCCUUCUUUCUACAUUUUCUAUAAGUGAAGGCUUUGGAGAUAUUGGAUUUCAUCUUCGUGGCUAGAUUCAUAGUAGAUCAAGAAGAAGAAGAUUGGUGAGUCCUCAUUGUAUUUGAGGGCUCAACCUUAUGUCCUUUAUUGUCUUUCUUUUAUGUUUUAAACUUUCGUUGUAAGGGUCGUGUCCCUAAGAUUUGUAUUUCAUGAGUUUUAUUCCAAGUAUAAUAGAUGGUUUGAGACAUGGUGUCAUAGAUACUCUUUCAGUUUUAUAAGAGACUUCGAUUAUAAGAAAAGUUUUUAAUUUUGCACUAUGUUUAUCACCUAUGCGAUGAAUGAAUGCUAUGAGGCUUGUAUAAGACCCCUUCGGGGUCGAGUACGCCGUGUUACGGCUUGGGGGUGCUCUCGGGUCGUGACAAAACCUCAAGACUAGAAUCGUAGGAACGAAUCUAGACUUAGCUCUGAUACCAAAUGAUGUAAUUCCUAUAAGGGAAUCACACUAAAACGCGGAAAUAGAAUAUGGAAAGUAAAGAUGAAUAGAUUGACACAAGAAAAGGAAAUAAAAAGUAACCUAAAGGUAUAUUAAACCUAAAGACCUCGAUCAAUUAAUCCACAAUCAAGGACCGAAUUUCUUACGAUGACCUCAAAGGAAUCAAUAUCCCAAGCAACCCACGUUUCUAACAAAAGGAACAAAAUCUUAAGCAAGCUCUCAACACUCAAAUAUGAGUUUUCAGUUUUCAACAUUCAAAAUAAUCUAAGUCUAAAAUGAACCCAAGCUAGCUAUUUAUAGGUCUAAGAUAAAACUGCCCAAAAGUGACUCGAAAUAUCAAAAGGUGAGCUGGGUCGGGCCGCCUAGUGGACUGGGUGAUGUGCUGACCUGGUUGGCGAUCCUUCCUACAUGAUCUUCAGCCUUGACUACGUUCUGGAACAUUAGGCGAGUUGGGACAUCGCCUAAGACCUUGGGCGAUGCACCAAGUGGGCCCUACUCGCCAAAAGUGCCUUUUUUAUUAAUCUUCAAGGAAUGAAAGUCCUUGUUUUCUAUCAACACCAUCUUGAGCACCUCCAUCUUCAUGAAUAACCCUUGCAUCCUCUGAGUGUUUUGAGCUUGGCUUCUAGUAAAUGGCCCUGAUGUAAUCCAUUUUACAUCAGCUCUUUUGAUGAAGGCUCAAGCCCUAACUACUAAAGUCCAAGCCAUGACGGCCCAAGCCAAUAGGGGUGUUGAGGGACAUGUGAACCCUAUUGUAAGCAAUAUGGCUUCUAGGUUGAGGGCCUUUUUAAGGAAGAAUCCUCUGGUGUUUCUAGGUUCCAAUGUGGCAGAGAAUCCCCAAGAGUUUGUGGAUGAGGUGUAUAAGGUAGUGAAUACUAUGGGGGUGACUUCUAUAGAAAAAGUGGAACUAGCCGCUUAUCAAUUGAAGUAUGUUGCCCAAGUUUGGUUCACUCAAUGGAAGAGUAAUAGGCCAUUAAGAGCAAGGCCUAUAGAUUAGGAAGUGUUCAAGGAAGCAUUCUUUCGUAGGUUCUUCCCCCGUGAGAAGAGGGAGGCUAAAGAGGAGGAAUUUAUCAAUCUUAGGCAAGGUAGCAUGAAUGUUCAAGAGUACUCUUUGAAAUUUACCCAAUUGUCUAAGUAUGCCCCAUCUUUAGUGUCAAACCCUAUGGAUGAGAUGAGUAGAUUUGUUAUGGGUGUAUCCCACAUAGUUGAGGAAGAGUGUCGUAUGGCAAUUUUCCAGGUUGACAUUGAAUAUUUCUAAGCUUAUGGUGUUUGCUCAACAAAUUGAGGAGUCCAAACUUAAGAAAAAGAAUAGGGAGAUGAAGAGAACUAGAUUCGAUGAACAAGGUCAACCAAGGUCUAAAAAGACAUCCUACGACCAAGAUUCCCCUAUGGUCAAUAAGGAUUGGGUGUCUAACCCUAACUCUCAAGGAGAAAAUGGAGGCGGAUCUUCUUUUGAAUGAUCUAUAUGUGCCAAGUGUGGGAAGCAACAUUUGGGUAAGUGUCUUGCCGGCACAGAUGGUUGCUUUGGGUGUGGAAAGAAGGGUCAUAAGAUAAGAGAUUGCCCAACACUCUCGGCCAAAGGAUGAGAGGCCAAACAAACUUCUCUUGAUGACCCGGAUCCUAAUUCUCCAAGGAAAAAUCGUUUCUAUGUGCUUCAAGCUAAAGAGGGCAAAUGAUAUCUUCCGGAUGAGGGCACCGGUAAGUGAUUGUUUAUUAUAGUUUUGAAUAUCUUGUUAGGGUCCCUAUGUUAUUUCUAUGUUAGCCUUAGUAAGGGUUUACUUCUAACGGAGAUAUGGUUUGUUAAAUAGAAAGGUUAUUGAGAGUGUUGAUAUCUUUAUCUCUUUCCUUCUAUUCCAAUUCAAGCUUGAGACCAAGAUUUCCUUGUAUCUUGUUUUAUGUUUCAGAGUCAUGUGUGAUUAUGUGUUUCCAUGAUCUCCUUAUGAUAUGCAUGUUCUUGAUGAAUUCAUGUCUAAAUGAGAAGAAUGAGUUUUUAUGAAUUAUGUUCCUCAUGUUGAUGUGCAUUUAGUAAGAGUUGCCUAUAUGCUUCAUGAGGUAAAUUGUUGAACAUGAAUAAAUAUGGUUUUGAGAGAAAUUGCAUAAUGUACCUAAUUAUGUCAUGAUGAGCAUGAUUUGAGUUGGAGAAGGUAAUUCCUCCAAUGAAAUGAGGAAUGCGGAAGUUUUCAUGCAUAAUGAGUUUGUAGAUAUAGUUCCUACUUUCUUGUGUUGCAUUGAGUAUGUUUGAGAUGGAGUUGAUGUUUCCUCCUAGUUUUGUGCAUUAAUUAUGAUGUUGCAUGUAUGAUGGGCUGCUAGUCUUGAGUCUUAAUUUCCUUACAGUGUUUAAAGUGUCAUUCGAGAAUGAAUGUUCCUAAGGGGGAGAUAAUGUAACGACCCGGAAAAUGAAUAGGUAGAAACUAGAGCCUAACGAGUUUGUUUUUGAGUUUAAUAUGAGGUUUGAAUGUGUAGAAUGAGUUCCUGAGAUUUGGUUGAGGGGUUUAGGGGUUAAACAUUAAGGUACAACUCCCCAAGGACCAAUCAAGGGUCCUUGAGGAGGACCCUAAAGCCUAACCCCCAAGACCCCAAAGAACCAAAAAGCUGCCAAAAAAAUCAUGUGAGCUACGGAUGGGACCUACACUCCGUAGGUCAAUCCAUCCACCGUGGAUGGCCAUCGUGGGUCAAGGUCCCAAAAUCCAAGUUGCAGCCACGAACCACAAUGUGCCAGUACGGCCCGUGGACCCACCCAUGGUCUGUGGGUGGGGGUUCGUACGUAACACCUGCAAUCUUUCUUGGACUCGGCCAAGGUAAGGGUCUUUUGGUAAAUUGGAGUAAUUAAAGUAUUUUAAGGCUUUUAAAGGUAUUAAAGACACUUUUUCAAUUCAUUACUUCAAAUCACAAAAUAGAAACCUCCCACUCUCUCCAAAUAUUCUCUCUCUAGAAAACACCAUUGGAGAAGAAAGAGUCAAGCUUUGAAGCUCAAGAUCUCACCUUUCACUCUAAAUUUUCGUGGAGUCUCUUCCAUAAAGGUCUGAUAGUCUUCAUCCUUGAUUAAUUUUCAUUCAAGGAGCCCUAUCAAAAUAUGAUUUCAAGUUUCCAAAAUCCCCCAAAAACCUAGGGUUUUCAAUCUAUGCAUGGGUUCAAUUCCAAAACGUUUUCAAGGUUUAAAUGUGAUGAAUUAUGAAUGGAUUGUUGAAUUAAUGAUGAAUUAUGGUGAAUUUACUCUAUGAACCCAUGUUUUCCCCAAAAUCCUAAGUUGUGAAUUGUGAUUGGGAAUUGAUUAAUCAUGAAAGUUUGUUUAAUUGUUAUGUUUAUAUUGAAUUAUUUAUUCAAUCGUGUUAAUUCCCUUAUCUAAUGAGGUAUUCUAUAUGUUUGGGUUGAUAAUGAUUUAUAGCCUCGGAGGGAAAUUUCAUGAAUGAUCUAUGUAGGAUCAUGAUGUGAAGUAUAUGUGUGUGAUCUCAAUGAACGUGUUAUUAUCAUGUUUAGAAUGUAAUUGUGUUAUUAUUGAAAGCAUGUUCUCAAUUUAAGACUUAUGAAUGAUGAUGAUAUAUGUGAAAGGUUAUUCUCACAUACACACACUCAUGAAUGAAUAAUGAAUGAAGUUUGUAUGAUUAUGAUAAUGAUGAUGUGUUGAUUGAACGGCUAUUCUCAAUUGUACACUAAUGAAUGAUAAUGACAUGUUUUGAAAGGAAUUUCUCACAACAGGGAGAUUCUUAGUUCAAAUGCUAUUCUCAUAUUUGAAUCUAUGAGUUAUCUAAUAAAUGAAUGUUGGGUUUGAGAUGGAUACUCAUCCAUAAGUUGAGGUGGGGUAUCUAGUAGCAAUCUCGUAUUCCACAAUAGGGAACCAAAGUAAUGAAUGUCAAGUACUCCGUGGGGCAUAAUGCUAAGCACCGAGUGGAUAUGAAUUGAGAUGGAUGUGCAUCCGUGAGUUGAGGCGGGGUAUCUAGUAUCAAUCUCUAUAUAUGUAUCCUCUUCCGUGAGUUGAGGCGACGUAUCUAUUAGCAAUCUCCAUAUCCCAUAACUAUGUCCCCAUAUAGGUUUAUUAGCUAGUGGAUCCACUUAAGCUAAAAAGCAACGUUACUUAGCCAAGUAGGAAUCCCUUAUCUGAUGAGGGUUACACCGGGAUUCCAUGAAUUGCUCACAUGGUCUAUGUCGGUUAAGGAUUACCCCCACAAAGAAUGUUAAUGAACUAUGGCUUCUCAAGAAUGCACUACUUAAUGUGGGUGGUAGUAUGGGAUUUCAUCCAUGCAUUGCACAAGUAGGCUUUAAGAGUAGUCAUGGUGUGUUCACUUAUGUCUUAAUGACUAAUGAAUGAAAGUGCUCUUAAUGAAGCUAAUGAAUAAUGUUGACUUAAAUGCUUAAUGUUAUGAUGCAUGCUUUACUCUGAAUGUAUUAUGAGUUACUUCUGUGUCAUGACUUAUUGAAUAUGAAUGUUCCUUGUCUAUGGGGGCUUCAAAGGAGUACUUAGUGUGAGUAGUAGUAUGGGAUGCUAUUCAUACAUUGCACAAGUAUGACUUAGAGUUGCCCCAGAUGACUGUCCUAAUGUAUUCUAAUGACUUAUGAAAUGUUUAUGUUCCUUAUGUAUGAGUAUUGUCUAUUGAUGAAAAGGAAGAAUGGUAAGUUCACUUUUGGUAGCCUUAAUGUGGUACUUAGUGUGGGUGGUGGUAUGGGACGCUAUUCAUACAUUGCACAAAGUAUAGCUUGGGGUUACUUGAGGUGAAAGCUCUAAUGUGAUUAAAUGACUUGUAUGUUGAUUAUGUUGUAUCUUAUGCCUUUUAUGCAAAAGUUCAUGAUAUUUCUCAAAUUGGCAUAAUGCAUGACUUUCAAACCAAAUGUCUGUUUUAAAGCAUGACUUUUGCAUGGCUAUCAUACUUAGUACAUUAAAAGUGCUAACCCAUAUUUAUUCAUUUUUAAAAAAGUGUAGGUUCCAGCAAGUGAGUUGAGUUCUUCUAGUUCAAGCUUGGAUUGAGUCUUCCAAGGCUAGUGGUAUGUCCUCAUGAUUUCGAGGAAACGUACUUUUGAUGUUCCAUGUCUUUCAUUGUAAUAGACUCUCUUUAGACUUUCUAUUGUAAAAGGUUGUGACCCUACUUUUGAUUCGAAGAUUAUUAUUAGAUGGCCAUUGUCGCACCCUAUUUUUCUCAAAGCGGACUUUUCUUUCGGAUGCACGACCUAACAACUCUUUUGGGAUUCGGAGGAUUGAAGAGUCGUCACCUAACGAAUUAAGGCACGUUAGGGCACCUAUCUAACCUAACUAAGUCUAGCUAAGGUCAACGAACCAGAGAUCAGGGUAAGGGUUCAAAUUACCUCGAGGGGAAGGUGUUAGGCAUCCCUCGAGGUCCACAAAUGUGGGUCCCGACCGUAUCUCAUGCAAUUUAUGUGGGGGUUACAAGUAGCAAUUAAGGUCACUUCAUUAUUUGGUUAUUUAUUAAACAUGCUUGCUAAGUGAUAACUAAUAUUAAACAAUUAAGAUCGACUCAUUUAUUAAUUUAAUUAAUUAAGCAUGCAAAAACUAGAUGAUAACAUAAGACUAAAUAAUUCGCACAGAUAAAAUUUUAAAAGAAGUAGUUAGAAGAUAGAAAGUAGACAAGUAUAUAAGCAAAUAUCAUUUUUAUUUUAAUUAAACUACCCCAAAUAAAUAUAAUUAUUAUAAACAUAUAAAAAGGAGAAGGAAAGGGAGAUUCUGUAGGACUUUAUGGAUCAGCACUCGACUUUUUUCUUUAACGUUUCAAUAAGCUUUCGUGUAGGGACAGACAAAACCAAGGUUUGUCUCUUUAAGCCUGAGUCGAUGUCAUCAUCUCCAUAGGGCCUAAACUACCCCUACCCCACCACCGCAUGCAUUUCGUCUCUAAAAGGUGCCUAACGUCCCCACUUAAGAUCCAAGAGGCAUUGGACUACUAUUAGGAAGGGUUAAGACUGAAAUAAACUCCUAAUAGGCCCACCUGGACACUAAGUCAAACAAGUUGGACAAACAUUUAGCACGCAAGGUCUCAUAUUGGCCUCUAGAUUUUAUUAAACACGCUGGCAAACACAAGUAAUAUGAAAGGUCGCAUGCGAGUGUGUGAGCAUAAAAAUAGAUAAAUAGCCAUUAUACGAUAUAAUAUUUUAAUGAAGAAGUAAAGUUAUCACCAUGCAAAAAGCAUUUAAGCAACUUAACUGACUUUUAAGAGUGGCGUAAUCAUUAUAGCAAAGAUAGAUUUAUUAGCUGAUUUUGAUUAGAAUAGCAAAUGUAAUAGGUAUAAUGCAAGUUAAUAUUUAAAACGGAGCUUGACUGCGUCUGGGAAUUUAUCUAAUAUGGGGGUAGAUUUUAAAUUUGAAUAUGCAGAGAAUAAUGUCACAGAAUCUAUCAAGCAGCGGGAAGAAAAUCUGCAAGGGAACUUUUAACAUGCUGGAAAUUAAUUUUAUCUAGUCCUAUAGGCAUAACUUUAUGGUGGCUUGGAUUUAUGCAUUUCUAAACAUUUUAUUGACAUGCUAAUAUUAAUCAAAACCUAAAGACAUGGCUUUUAGAUAGGUUAACAUGCUGACAGAAUAAACCGACUGAUUUGUUCACAAUUAUUAGAUUAUUAAAAAUCCUACAAGCAGUCAUCUAAAUGGAAAAACGCAUUUAUAUCACACAACAUUAUAACCGGACAACAUAAAUUCUAAUCUUACUCAAGAGCAUGAAUUCUAUAUAAAGAUAACCUAACUAUUGAAAAACCAAUAGACAUGCUUUGUAGGUAAUACCAAAAUUUAAGCCUAUAUGCAUGAAGUUCUAACCCAUUAACAUGCUGCAAAUUUAAUUAAAUACCACGAGGAUGAUAUCUACAAAUGGUAAAAGAAAACCAAUUUGAUACGAACAAGUUGUUAAAAUAUUAAUGCUUAUUUAUUUAUUAUAUAAUGGGGUUGAUAGUGAGCCAGAUAAUGCAAGGAACAAACAUUAUUCAUUGUUAAGAAUAAAAGGCGGAUAUGCAAAUCAUAUAAACAUAUUACAAUGAGUAGUCAAAUUAUCUCAACAUGUUUAAUUUUAAGCAUAAUCAGACAAAGCUUAAAUAG
rnacentral:lncRNA from 1 species